rnacentral:lncRNA from 1 species
UUAAACAUUCAGAUGCAGUAGGCACGAUCAAUUCGACCGCAAAAUCUCUCCAAAUUUCACAAUCUCUCAUUUCCAAAACUGAACCCGCAUAUCACACAAACACACAAACAGAGAGAGACCGGCGUUGGGAGGAACCACCAUCAGUGGCGGCGGCGGCGAGGCGGAGCACUGGACAAAGAUCUUGGUUGGGUGGGCUGGGCAUCGCGACGCCACGUCGAUGGCGACCUCCUGCCAGUUUUUGUGCGCUUGCCGCGCCGGCGGUCGGGGGAGAAGAAGGAGAUCCGAUGGGAAGAGUGUUGAGAAUAAGACACCAAAGUCCGUAAAAGCAGCAGGAAAACAAGGAUCCCUUAAAGCAGCAGGAAAACAAGGAUCCCUUAAUCAAGGGAUCCUUGUAUGACUUUGUAUCAGCAAUAUUAAAUAUCAUCUCCCAUCAAACACUAUAAAUGGGAGAAGUGUAUCAGUAGGAAAAAAUACAACAAGCAAUACAACAACAAUUAUCAAUCUUCUCUUUUCUCUGCAUUAUGAUAAAUACAUGUGUUAACAUGGUAUCAGAGCAGAUUUCGAUCUUAGGAACUCAGAAAUAUAUCAUCAUUGUUCCAACCCUUUCUCUAACCUUUUUUUCACCAAAACAGUAGCCAUAUCCUAUCUUUUUUUUCCCUUUCCUGAAACAGAAAAAAAUCAAACAAAAUGUCAGGUGAAACCCAAAUUACAGAAACCAAAAAUCCUUCAGAAGAGUUAACUCUUCAAAUUGCAAAUCUAGUUCGGAAUUCAGACAACGUCAUUCUGGGAUUCAAACUAGAUGGGAACAAUUAUCCCUUAUGGUCACGCCUUAUGAAAGUAGCCAUCGGGAGCAAGGGAAAAUCCAGCCAUAUCACUUGGCAACCACCACCACCAAACGAAUCCGAUUCUGACUACUACAGGUGGGAAGAAUCAGAUUUGUCAGUUUUCUCAUGGCUUAUACAAAACAUGGAAGGAAAAUUGGUUACCAAUUUCGCACAACACCAAACAGCGAAGGCUGUAUGGGACAGCCUAGCGGUAACUUACGGGAGUGGAGCCGAUCCGUUUCAGCUCUACGACUUAGAAGUAAAAGCCAACAAAGUAAACCAGGGACAACUUACUUUGGAGGAUUACUGGAAUGAGCUUCAAAGAAUUUGGCUCACCAUCGAUCGGAGGGAACCGAAUCCUCUCGGCUGCUGCGAGAAAGGAAUCAACAAAUAUAGGGAACUAAUCGCCAAUCGCCGAUUGUACCAGUUCCUCUCCGGAUUGGAUACCAAAUAUGAUGCAAUUAGAAGAGAUAUCCUCAAAGAAUCCCCUGUUCCCUCAGCCGAGUCGGCGUUUUCAAGGGUACGAAGGGAAGCCGCCCGGCUAUAUAUUCUACAACCGGCAACUAACUCCAUCGACACCGGUAACUCUUCAUCAUCGGGAAUUGGAACCGGCCUGGCUGCCUCUCGACUCCCUGCACCAAGCUCGAACCACCAGCCACCAGAGGACCGCCGAACCACUCCGGCAACCCGUCUUAUCGGAAAAAGAUUGACAAAACACGACUUUUUUGCACCCAUUGUGGUAUGAACAAACAUACCAAAGAAAUGUGCUUCAAACUUGUGGGCUAUCCCGAGUGGUGGGAGGACAACCACAAAGCUCCUCAAGCCAAAGGAAAGGCGGCAGUCGGCGUGGAGGUGGCGGCCGGAAUUGGGGCAGUGGCGGUGAGCGGCGUCAAGGGAGAAGAGAAGGGGAGAACCGAGAAAUGGGAGGGAGCCGGAACCACGGUUCCUCCGAUGAACGGCGAAGAGAAGGGGAGAAUGGAGAAAUGGGAGGGAGCGGCGGAAAUUUGGGGAGAAGGUAUAGGGUUUGGUGGAAUAUUUCCACUAAAUCCCUCUAACUUUGAUAAUCCUAUUUUAAAUCCCUCAAGUUCUAGUUUAUUACAGAAAGAACCCCAUUCCAUUCAAAACUCCCCACCAAUUUUCGAAAAUUCGAAAAACUCCCCACAAUUUUCUGAAAAUUGUGAAAAUGACCCUAAACACUUUAGAAAUUAUUCUAUUGCGUGUCAAACAUUGAAAAAUAAAAUUGAAAGAGAUAGAGGGUGGAUAUUUGAUUGUGGGCCACGGAUACAAUGACUUUUGACAAAACUGACUUUCUCGAGUCAUCUAAGUCAUCUNUCCAUCUAGCAUGUAGAGAUUUCUGUGUAUCUUAGCCAGAGCCAAUAUAUGAUCUGAAUUUUGCCGCUGAAUAACACAAUGUGUCUUCAAGAAAAGACACCUAACAUCAUCCUUUUUGUCAACUGUGCUACUGAGAUUAGAUUAUGUGUAAAGCUCGGUGCAUACAACACUUGUGUGAGGAUUAACUCGCUAGAUACUUGAGCCUCACCCAUAUGUGUAACUGUUUCACACUUCCAUCUAGAAGAUGAAUCUCCUGACACUUUUCCAAUCGAUGCAUAGCACUGAGCAGCUUAGAAUUACAGCAAAUAUGUGCACUAGCUCCUGAAUCAAGGAUCCAUGUAUUGUGUGAGUUUCCAGAGAGCACACUAAAAGCAUAGUGUCCCUCAAACUCUAAACCUCCUUGCACCAUAUUAACAUCACUUUUCUGUGUAGGAGUGCUGCUUGUUUGGUUCACCAUGCUCCCACGCAUUUGCUAAUUUCAGAUUGGAUCAACUUUACAAGUGAUCCAUCAUUAUCAUUAACCGACCUUCCAUGAGGCCCUGUUUCUCCUUCUGAUUUCACUUCAGCAUAGUUAGCCUUAGAUUUCCCUUUUCCUUCCUUCAAUCGUUUGUACCAAUCUGGAAAUCCAUGCAGUUUGAAACACUCACUCUCUUCAUGCCCAUGGCGUUCACAGUGUGCACAGUAAAGUUUCUGCCUCUCCUCUUUACUCAUUCUCCCUUAUACAAUUGUUGUUGUUUACCAACCUAGAGUAUCUCUUCCUUUCCCAACUCCUUGCUUUCCCACAGUCAUAGCCUGCAUCGCAUGAGCUUCUCCAAAACUUUCCACAGUUAUCUUCUGAUCCUCUAUCUGAAGUACCAUAGAAUAUGCUCUGUUUACAGUAGGUAGAGGAUCGAGAAAUAAUAUCUGACUCCGUGCGCUUUCAAAUGCAUCAUUCAACCCCAGUAAAAACUGCAUCAAACGCUGAUUCUCUUCUCUAUUGAUGCCUGCCUCACGUGUGCCACAAACACAAGACAACGGUGGUAGCAACAUAUCCAAUUCAUCCCAUAAAGCAGUAAGGUUAUUAAAAUAGACAAGGACACUCUGAUUACCUUGCAUAUAACCACUGAUUUCUCUUUGCAGCCUAUAGAUCUUAGGGCCAUUACUUCUACCAAAUCGUUGGCUUAUAGCAUCCCACAAUUUCUUCGAAUUUUCAAUAUGAACAAAGGCAUUUACCAACUCUUUAGAAAUCGAAUUUAUUAUCCAUGAAGAGACCAUAUAGUCAGCUUUAACCCACGCCUUAUAGUAUGAAGAGCUAAAAUCUGGUUCAGGUAAGGUACCAUCGAGAAUUUCCAGUUUACUCUUAGCUCCUAAAGCACGCUUGACAGAUCUACUCCAGUUAAGAAAAUUAUUACUUGUCAAUUGUGCUGCAACCAACUGCAUUCCUGGAUGAUCGGCGUUGUGGAGUUGCAAAAUCUCCUCGAUUUGCUUUGGAUCUAGAAUUUGUGGAUUGAUUCGCUCCAUACGCCGACUGCCUUCAGAUUUGUUGUGCAAUGCAUCCUUGCGAGCUAUCUCUUCAGCGUCACCAGCCUCUUCUUCAGCCAAAAUGUUCCACGGAGUAUGUCGUAUUUUGCCCAUGGAUCAGAGAUCUAGUAUGCUCUGGAUACCAUGUUGAAUGUGUGAUUCGUGAGGAAGAAGAAAACAAUUAAGCUGAGUAGAGAGUAGUAUUAUUUCAGCAGAGAAAAAGUUGCGUACAUAAAGUUGUUCACUCAGCUAUUUAUAGACAUAGCAUGAGGCAAAAACAAAGCAACCAAUCAGAAAAUAACAAGUGGCAAAAAGAGAUACAAAAGAUGCUUAUUAGAGUACAUGCAACAGCAUGUGUGCACCGAGCCACAGCAGAUAAAACUAACUCCUGCCUUUACAAUUGCACAACUUAUCAUUCGUUAGGCUUGUAAAUGGGCACAAUUUUUAGUGAAGAUUGUAAUUGCGAUAUGGAGGUGAAGGUUGGGGGGGAAAUUGCUACUUUUCCUUAAUCAAAUUUGUAAAUACUACUCCCUCCGUCCGUCAAAAUUAUGUCACAAUUACUAUAUUGGGCGUCCGCCAUAGCGGAUGAAGGGAAUAUAAUAGAUGGAUACAACUCGUCUAAAAAUAUCAUAAAAUAACAUCUAAAGCUCACAAGUAGCUAUACUUAUAUUUGUAUAUUACUAGUGGUACUACUUAUACACGCUAGCUAUUACGAAUCGACUGAAUUGUCGAAUACCUCUUGCGCAUCAUCUAAUGGGAAGCAGAAGGAUAAAUAAUUUUUUUGAUAGAAGAAAAUAUUUCAAGUUUAAUAGAACUUUUCAAAUCUUUCAGUAAUUAUUUAUACAUUGAUCUUCAAUUUUGGUAAAUUUUCAACGGCAAAUGGAAAUUGACCAACAUUCCGGCAACUUUCAUCCUAUGUGGCUUACCGCAAACCAGAAACCACGCACGACCUUAGAUCACCAAUUUUGGCUUCCAAUAAUAAGGUCAAGUUUCUAAAAGAAAGCUCAACAUUUCAAGUGUUUUUUUUUGAGGCAACAUUUCAAGUGUUUAGUUCAUAAUAACAUUAUAUUCUUCUAAAUUAUCUACAAAUCAUUCUAUUUUCCCAGUCGAUAUAUUAGUCGGAAAUAGUUAGAAAUAAAAAAAAUAUCAAACAUAUGUUAUCAAUUCCGUUGUCGUCCAGCGGUUAGGAUAUCUGGCUUUCACCCAGGAGACCCGGGUUCGAUUCCCGGCAACGGAAAUUUUUUUAUGCCUUCGCUUUUAAUAAUUUAUACAUUGUUUCUCUUAAAUCAUUUUUUCAAACUUGAUGAAAAAGCGAAGCACGAUUAAUUAAAUAGAAAACGAAAUCGAGCUGAAGAACGUGAAAUCUACAUGGACGGAAAGUAGUGAGGUCGGCUCUCCAGUAUCAAAAAUGGCGGAAUUAUCACUUUAUUAUGAUCUCUAUCUCCUUUUCCCUAUUUUCUCCCUUAACCUCAACUCUUCUUGUAACUCACAUACAAAGAAGAUAAGAUAAAACAACUAUAUAUCUGAAGAUCUAAUAACCACUCAUUCUAACGGAAAAACUUGAGCAACGUGAAAAUAACCAUGUAAUCAACUCUUUCUAUUCGCCUGGUCCAUGAAGUUUCUACAAAUAACGCAUAUUUAUGCAGAUACCCUCAACAAAACCAAUUCUUAGGAUUUCAGAGUUCAGUAUUUCCAUAAAUUACUGUUCAAUUUUCACAACAAGACAAGUCUAGUUGAUGAAUACGGAACUUUUAAGCUUGGAACUAAUCGCGUCUUCUCCUAAAACCAGUAGUCCUAGAAUUUAGUCUUCUUGAGUUAGUUUCAUUUCAGCUUUGUUGUUUGAUGAUAAUUCAAGUGGUUUUCCACAUGUCUCUAGGUUUUUCUUUUUUUUAUGUUUUCACAUUUACUCUACAAACUGAAGCUUAAUAAAACUUGGUCAAACAAAUUUGCCAACGCACGUGACACCAAGUAGAAAAGAAUGGAAGUAGAAGAAACAAAGUUUGCCAAAACUAAUACCAAUAGAAUAUUAGCACCACAAAAUCUAAAAAAUAAACAAGAGAACAGUACGACACGCAUUUUUCCAAUUUGAAAAAGUUGCGACAAUUUGGCCAUAACAUAUUGAACUAGGAGAUAAACAGUAAAUGCCACAAACAAACUAAUCUUUCUAUGUGAUUCAAACCAACCGUUAACCUAUUGGUUGAUACAAAAAUAUCUUACGAAUUGAGCCACCCUCUCAACCAACUGAUUGGAGGAAAAAUAUCUUACAUUUGAGUUGAACUUCUUCACUCCCUCAACCAAGUGGUUGGAGGAAAAUAUCUUACAAUUGAGUUGAACUUCGCCAUCCCAAAGUGCAAGUUAUAACUUACUAGGCGAGGACGAUAAAGUAAGACACCGAUAUGCUUAAGGAAGACCAUUAAAUAUGGACAAAUCCUCAUUCGGCAAAUUGGCUCAAAGGGAGGGAAACGGAAAAGGUUCCCAAAAAUAAGAAUAUCUUAUAUUGACUUGUGACACCAAUUGCAAUCCAAUGUUCCAAUGGAAUAUUGUAUGAAAUUAGCAAAUAGGUUGCCAGGAAAGCCAAAUUCUCAAGACAGGAUAGCAAGAAAGUAAAUGUAGUACACAAUUUGCCUCCCUCUUAUAAACUAUAAUCGCACUCGCACAACAAAAUCUCUAUCAAAAAUAAUAUCCUUGACCAAGAAUUACAAAAUAAAGGAUGACACGGGACUAUGACUAUCCACUAGCAACUAUUUCAUGAAUGGCUUCACUCACAUUCACAUCGUCCGAUCUCACAGCUAAUUUCAUUGCCACCUCUUUAGUCCCAUCCAUUCCAAACGACAAACGGACAAGCACCUUCACAUUGCCUAUGUACACACCAGAUAAUAAACAUGUAUGCGAUCUUGAGUUGCUUGGGACCGCCUCGGUGCCCUGCACAAACAAAAUAAAUAACAUAAUUGGCAACUAUAAAGAUGUGGCAAAAACCAGCUCAAUUUGUUCAUAUUUAAGAACUUGUGCCCUUUGACAGGCAUAAUCCAAGGUUCAAUGGCUAAUUAUCUGAAGGAAAUAUAAGGCUGUAAGGAACGCACCUCACACGGCUGCAUGCCAAGAAGACUGAUGACUGCAUUAACAGCCUCGACAAGGCUUUCCCUGGGCCCAAGGCCAUAUUCAUCUAUGCGCUCCGUAUCAGGGUCCAUGCUUUCCCAUGCAUUUCUAAAGUUAGAGACGCCCACUUUUAGAAUGUAAUCAGCAGCAACAACCUCGAAAUCUUCAAGCUGGUAUUCAUCUUCCACACCAUCAUCUUCAGCCUCUCCAGUAGAGGUAUCAACCUAAACAAGUUUAUGGAGGCAAUAAUCACAUAAACAACAAGUGUACCACGGCUUUUGGAUCCAAGAAAAAAAUAUUCAUAUGAAUGACAAAAUAUAGAUUUUGCUGAGUCUAAGUUACAUGAUCGUGCAUGUGGCAUCUUCAAAGGCAGCCAAACCAAUGAAGGAAGAUAUACCUCUUUAACAGUGAACCUCAAUGUGUUAGAAAAUUUCCCAACCGCAGGAAUGCCUUCAGGUUUCUCAAAGGCCACAAAUGUUUGGGCUGGUGUAUCAUAAGGAAGAGAUUUUAAAGGUUUGACUCCUACUUCAGAGAAUUCCUCAGCUUCAGAAGCAUCCACAAUAACAGUCACCUAGCCGCAGGAGCAGAACGAUUUAAGUAAUGGAAACACAAUGAACGUCAAUGGGACAAAAAACUUGCAACAAUAUGGUCUGUACAUUUUCAAGUAGCUGCUCUGGUAUUGUAUUUGUGCAAUUGUACUGAAAUACCACAUGGUGGUCAAAUAUGUGCUUGACAACAUUAACUGCAUACUCCGUUUCUGCUUCUGUAAGCUCCACUGGCACUGAUGACUGAUCACGAACAUCGAACAUGAAAACUCAUUGGAUACUAUACACAACGAAAGUUAUUGGUAUGAAUCAGUUCAGAUAGUUAUCCACCAACCUUGAAAAGCUUUCCAAAAUUUGCAAAUUCAGGAAUAGAGGAGAGAAGCCUUUCAUAAGCAUCAGAUGCAGAAGUGGGUGCAGGAGGUGGAGCACCCAAAGCAGUUGGUUUCUUUCCUGGGGCUUUCUUCUCGACAAGAGGCUGAGACUUUACCUCUCUGGGUACAGAAUUGAUAUCAAAAGGCUCUUCUGUAGGAUUCUGUGCCUGUUCCAAAACAAAAGAAGUGCAAUGUCUAAUAUAACACAAGCCUCAAGUAAUUAUUGCAAAUCUAGCUUGACAUUAAGUGCAAUGUCUAAUAUAACACAAGCCUCAAGUAAGCACUGAUAUGUAUAAUACAUUAAUGCUUACAUAGUUUCUUAAAGUAGUCUCCAUAUUUGCUAGUGGUAUAUCAAGUGAUCCAAACAAAAAUUCCUUUACAUCUUUGUCAGUUUCAGCAACUGAACCAUCACCAAGACUGUUCAAAUACAGAGUAGCUCUAUCUCGGACCUGCACAUAGAAUGGCAUAUCUUAAUCACAAAGAGAAGCCAUAAUAUACUCAAUAUACAUCCAAACAAUAAGCACUUGCAGCAUCUGAGCAUGAUAUGGAAGGAUAAUCACUAGGUUCGGCUUUCAAUUAUAAGUUUCAAUCAUUUCCCAGCAGACUAGGGGCAAAAUAGAUCUUACAAUCCUCACAUAACAUGAAAGAUUAGUCAUUCCAAUUCCCAACUCCCAAGCAAACAAAAUGAAGUAUCAUAACACCAGAUUUCAAAAGAAUUUCCAACUUUACAUUCAUAAACAGGAAUAGUGGAACAAGUAUUUGUGAGACACGUCUCAUCUCCUUGGUAAGCAACUAAGCAUCAAAUUCAGACUUUCAGCAUGGGUGAUCUACUUGAAGGUUUCAAUGUAAUCACUAUUCUGCCUUGUGUAUUGUCCAUAAGUGGCAGGGCUUUCAACAUUACAAGACCAGAAAUCCUCAAUCACAUCAUUUCUAUAGGUGUUUAAACUUUAUUUAUGCUGUGUGGUAAUGAGAAAACUAAUUGAAAACUAAAUUAAAAUCAUCAUAAGUUAGUGCAAAAUUCACUGGAGCAUAACACUGACCUCAUCAUCAUUGUCGAACAGGCAACGCCUCAAUAGGAUAAAUAUGCGAGGCUGCAGCAAAGAUCAUAAUAUUUUUAAGUUAGGAAAUGGUCAUUGUUAAACAUAAUUUUAACAGAGCAGGUGUAGCAUUACCUUCAGGGAAUCAACCAGGGCACCAAAUUUUGCAAGUGUGCUGACGCACUGGCUCGCACAGUAGCAUUCUCAAGUAUUACUCGAUUGUAAAUAUAGCGGAUAUAUUUGCUAGGAUCUGAUGUCUUGGGUCCCUCAUUUCCAAGAAAGUGGAGUAUCUGGAAAACAAAACAAAGCAACAAAACUAAGCCCAAAACAAAAGCCAAAUGUGCUAGCAACAACGGCAGUGCUCUAGAAAGAAGGAAUUCUAGAUAGAUAGAAAGCAACCUGGGUAGAAAGAUAUGUAAAUUCACAAUCUUCAAUAAAUUCACACAAGUGCAGCAGUCCACUUUCUUUCGCAUCUGGAAUAUCUCUAAUUAAGAUCACAAUUGAAUCAACAAUUGCCUUCUUGUACUCAAACCCACCCUCUUCUCUCAAUAUAUUGCUUAAGAAAUUCAUCCUACAAGAAGCCACAUUAUUAGACAUUAAUAUUUAGAUAUGAAGAAUACAGCACCAUCAAAUUAUUCGAAUACAAAAGGCACUUGAUGUUUAGUUUUAGGCACACUCCACUUACAGGGAUCUGUACUUGAGUGGAAACUUCAAACACAGUGACCUUAUAGCUUCUACCACAACAAUCUUGAAUUCAUCGGCAAUAUCAGACAUGAAAUUUGUGAUCUGUUUCAUCAAGCGAUCAACACUAGAUUCAUUGCCAGUUUUCAGCAGUGUGGUAAUGGCAAGAGUAGCUAUGCUUCUAUUCUGGUCUGAAAUCAAGCUUUCCAUGUCUAUAUUACAGUUCGUGACAGCCAUUGGAUGUGUCAUGGCCACCUGCAUGCAAUUUAAGUUUGAAAUUCAUGAAAUAGUAAGUGCUAGCUUUAUAUAUAUCACUAUAAAAAGGGGGUGCUCAACGGAAUCAUAGAAAAAAGGACCAUGGAAUUUAAAUAUUAUCAUCCUACAAGCAAUAAGUACUGCUCUAACACUCAAGAUAAGAUACAAGAGCAGAAUCAUCUUGGGUGUGGACUCCACAUGAAGCAUCUCCUUUCACAAAAAGAAUGCAAUAUUGUCAUGCUAAACAUGAAUAUUACACAUCACGAGGCAAAAAAUGAAGACAUAAUUGACCAUUUAAAACUGUGGUCUUGCAAAUGGCACCAGUAUAGCUAACAAGGAUAAGGGUGGAGAACCUGUUGAGUCAAGCUUCAAGUAGUUUCAGCUGAGCUUUAUAAAAUAUAAAUACAAAGAAAUUUCCAUGCUAGGACUAUUCAGUCUGCAACACAAAUGUGUGGAAACUUUUGUGAAACCCAAACCAUUCUCUGCUCGAGCAGGUUUCAUAAAUAGCAUUCCAUUUGGAAAUAAGAGACCAUCAUGCUGAAGAACGUGAGCACACUAAUACAUGAAAUAAGAGAGAAAUAAUUAAACACAAUUCAGAUGAAUCUCCUACUAUAGGACCAGUACCAUUUGAUUCCUCAACAAUGUUACAUUAGGCUACCAAUGCUGAAUGAAAUUAAUGAUGUGAAGUCAGCAAAAUAUCUUUUCUUAUGUAAGACCAACUGAGAGAGUGAUGCCUUGAUCACAUAAAUGAUGUCACUAUUAUGGUCAAUGGUUUAGUUGUCCAUGUCCAAAUAACAUUAAAAAGCACCAACCUUAUUUAAUGUCCGAACAGCAGCAAACCUUAGCACAGGCUUCGAAGAACUUAAGAAAAGUUGUAAAACAGUUAUGGCGGGAGUCAAUUCCCUGGUUGUGACAUUGCUCAACUCAGUGAUUGCUUUGGCUGCUUCAAAGAUAACCAUUUCAGCUUUAUGACGGAGACAGCUCUCAAGAUAGUCAUAAAAUGGGCGGUCUCCAGUCUGAGAAUUAAACCAGUCUCUCGGAUAACCUAUGAGCUCAAUGAACAACUGCACAAUCAAUACUUGAACAAAAUUAAAACAAAAAGUGUUUCUUUGCAACUCUACGUUGGUAAGAAUAACACCUGACUAGUGUAGCGAAUCAAGAGGCACUGAGCCAAAGGAGAGCGAACAGUUCCCUUUGUCAAGCUUGUAACCAACUUGCUAACAGCCAACCGAUCAUUUUGUCGUAUCUGCAAGUUCAGAAAUAUGAUGUGUGAUCAAAUAAAAGAGGCCAAGCCCUUUUCAGGUGAAGCAAUACACACAAAACAUCAAAGUAAGCCAAGUUGUACUUGUACACAGUCAACGAAACUUCAAACUCCAUAUUUUCCAAACAGGAUAAUUGCAGAAACAUUAAGCAAGUCAAUUGCCAUUUUUUGAAAGUACAAUCUUAAAGAGGCUUAAGGAACAUAAAUAAUAAUUUGGCUUAUACAGAGCAAGAAGUAUAUGAGUUUAAUAAUGCAACCAAGAGGAGCAUGGUUUAUUCCAUCUGAUGAAAAUGUAUCUGCUUGCCAAGACUUCUUUUGGAAGAUCUGUUUUUAGAUAGAAGAUACAUCCAAGUUGUGUUCAGAGAGUAAGUUAGGCCACCUAUAAAAUGAUCAGAACUGAAGGAUUCAACACACAACUUAUUUGACAUCAGGUACCUAGAAGAAGACCCUUUUAGAAACUAAUACUAGUUCUUAAUUGAACUCUCCAUGACUAGAAAUCUAACUUGCAGAGUUCGGGGUAAUAUUCAUGCAUUUUUCACAAAUUAAGAUAAGAUAGAUCCAGGUUAGCAGUGAAGGAAAGUUCGUAAAUCCCAAUGAACAUUAAACUUCUUACCUGGUGCAGCAGAGCAAGGGCAUGAAAUUGUACAAGUGCAGCGCGCGAUUGAACAGCUUCUUGUACUUCAUUACUCCAUCUCUUGACUAUCUCCGGAGUUGUCUGUGACUAUAUUCAUAAGUACACUAACCACGGAAAGUAAGUAACUGGUGCAAUUCUCACAGAUCCAAUUAUUACCUGCAGCAGAUGAAUACCACUCACAAGGGCGGCACUUGCAACAACUGGAUUUUUAUCCACAAUAGCCUGCUUUAAGUAUCUCUCGAUUUGUGUCAAAAGUGUUCCAUCAGUGAUUCGACAAAGGACGCGGAUUGCAUUUGCUCGGUACAUAUCAGUGCGACUAUUCAUGUCUUUCAUUAAGGAGCUUGUUACAAUAAUAACCUUUAAUGCCGGAAAACAAAUAGUUUAGACUGGUAACUUCAAAAGCAUAGAACUAUUUAUGGAAGCGAAUGUAACAUCAGUAUGAAACACAUCUUCAAGGUACCUCAUCAGCAGAGGGAGAAAGAUCCUUUAUGAUUAGAUAUACCAUCCUUCUCAAACCAUUAUCUCUAGACUGAAACAGUUUUGUGACAGCAAAAAAUACUUCUGUGGCCUCGACCUAGAAAUUAUAGAAAAGAAACUGAAGAACAGUUUAAUAUAAUUAAAAAAAAAUAAUCACUUCAAAUCAAUGUUACUGAAGUGCCAAACUGCUUGAAACCUACAUUUAUCCUCUAAUAUGAUCUGAUUACUAUGUACAGUUAAGUUAAAUGUGUGUCAGGAGGACAGAGGUCUAUGUAUGUACAGUGUGUGCAUGCAUGAGAGAGAGAUCAAGAGUCUGUAACAGCUGCAGAGCUCGACCUUUGUGAAUGAGUCGCCCUGAUUAAGAAGAUACAAAAGCUUCGUGAUGACCUAGCAAGGAGAAAAUCAAAAAUCCAGAUUAGAAAAAUAGAAUAGAAUCAAAGAAAAGAAAAAUUAUUGAAUUCAAAUUGCAAGAACUGAUUACCUGUGAGCAUCGCCUAGCAUCUAACUGAGGGUCAUUGAAAACCCUAGCUUCCUGUAAUACCGCACCCUUCUCAAUCCCCAGAAAUGGCGAGUAAUCAGCUGCAAUAAGCAUUAUUGUAUUAGUUACUUCAGACCCAAAAGAAUGAUAUAUCUAUCUCAUGAAUGCACCACAAGAAUCACGCCACGGACUAUCCAUGCAGAUGCUGAUGAAUGACUCGGGGGAUGCUCGGUAUGAGGGUUUUGGAAUGAAACCCAAGGUAGUUAAUUCAUGCAGGGGAUCCAUGCCCCUAGAGGCCUACACCCACUUCCAUUUCCAAAAUAUAGGAAACAAGAUCCAUUCCCUACAACUAUCAAACCCAUAGGCAUACCUAUUCACAUUCCCUAUAAUACCAUGUAUCCCCUCGGUGUACUUGAACCUUGAAUGGACCCACUCAUCCCAAGCUAACAAAGAGGCCUAUCAAUCACUAUCCAAUACACUAAAAUAUUGCAAAUUAAAAAAUUUCUUUUCACGCAGACAGUAGUAGAAGAUUAUAAUGAUAAUAACCAUUGGGCUACCCCAGCCUCCAAAUGGAAGCAGGGCACAGGUAAUCAUAAGAAUCAAAAUGGUAUACCCCAGCCUCUAUGAUCCACAUCAUCAUGCUUGUCUUAUUGUCUAGUAUUAAUUCAAUGACUCCGAGAAUGCAGAAGAAACUGCAGAUCUAAAGCUUAAUUAAGUUCCGCAAAACAAUAUGCAAAUCGGAAUUGCAAUAAUAAACUGUUAAACUUAACGCCACUAAAUACAAAAUUCAAGCAUAUUCGUAAAAUUCUAACAGUGGUGAAUCAAAUAAACUACAUCGUUUGCAAAUUUUAAGAUAGAAUCAGGUUUCAUUGUGUGAUGGAUCAAGUGUAUAAGAUUAUCUAGAAUUCAAAUUCAUCACAAAUCAUACACUCCUGUAAUCCAGAAUUCGAACAGAUCUCAGAUCUGAAUCGAAUUUUAACUAGGAGAAGACGAUUGUAAAAUUGCCCUAAAAGAAACCCGAAAUGUAAAUUAGGAAGUAUGAAAAAAUGAAUCGGGAGUGUUAAAUUAAACUCGAAUCAGAAGAAAAGCAAGUAAUCAGAUAAUGGAGUUCCAGGAAUGCACCUUCUUCAUCGCGAUCAUCAUCUUUCUUGACAAGCGGUUGAGCCAUUGUGCAGAGAUCUGCGUAGGAGAACUAGAAAAACAAACUAAUAAGGUUAAUUGUUGCCUGUGCCUGAAUAUAAGUGUACAAGACGGAGAAUUAGCAAAUCUGCCAACGUCAGUUUCUAUUUAUUUGUGUAGAAUGGAGUGUAGAUCUCUCUCCCUCUCUCUGGGUUCCCAGAUGCAGCUUGACGAACAACCGAAGAUUUACUUGAGUGAUGUUAAUAAGGUUAGUGAGGGGUCAAUGGUGCGAUUGCGAAGGGUAAAUUCGGUAUUCCGUGUUUAAAGUGCACAUUUUUUUUUGCGUUGUUCCAAUUUAUAAAAUUUUCAAAAUAACAGAGGUAAAUAUUAUUUUAAAUCUUAAACUAUAUUCAUUUUAUUAGAAAUAUUUUGAAUUAUAUAAAAAAUACUCUGUUAAUUUAAACAUUAAUUAUUAACUUUGUGUCAAAAAUAUCCCGCAUUUAUAUUUCAACCCUUGAAAUUUCGACGUUACUUGUCGAAUGCUACUAUGUACAAUAAUUUUUAUUUUUUAAAUAACAUGGUACAAAUCGAAUGUCACUUGAAACCCCCGACUAUCAACUGUUGUAAAUAAAAUAUCUAGCGUCCAUUUUCUGGCCUCCAAAAUAUUGAUAUUUCUUAUCGGAUGCUAUUGUAUUAUUUUUAUUUUUAUUUUUAAAUACAUGACACAAAAUGAAUCUCAAACUAAUCUAAGUAGUCUACUUCUAAGACCAAAAUACCCUUCAGAAAGCCAUAACCAUAGACCUCAACGAAUUCGGACAAGUUCUCAAAUUGAUCGUCGUACUCACCAGAGCACCCGAUGUUUGAGAUGAAAUAAGACACAAAUGUUUGUGGAAAUGGAGCAGAGAAACCCCACGACCGUUGGUGAACAACUGAGCCACCAAACAUAAACCAUUGUUGUCUUAUGAUUUAUGUUGGUCCCGAGGCGAGUAUGUUCUGGUGUAUGAGAGGAAUACACCAUAUAUCAAAUUUUGCUCAUUUUCUGAUAGUAUUGAACAAUUUAGCUAGUAAUGAGCCAGCUAGAGAAAGACGUGUCAACUUGUUGAAAGCUACCUUACUAAUAAUUCAAGUACGCCUACUAACAAUAGGUGGACAGACAAUGAGGUUUCUGUUCAAACACGAAUACAGAAUUUGGUAGCUAGCAAAACUCACUUUAAUGAAAAUAUUUAAUGCGUGCACAAUAUCAGCGACUUGAAUCAAACUAAUAAAGUUUAGAAAUCAGUAUGUGCAAGUGAGUUUGUGUGAUGCAUAAGGUCAGCUUGCUGAAAGCUUUGACAGAUAGAGCAAAACUGAACCAAAAUAGAGAUUGUAAAAACAUAAUCAUUUUUCUUCUGUAGUUGUCUUGUUGGUUUGUGGACGGUUGAUAUAAUAAGGUAAGAACAUUUUCAAUAAAAUAAAAAGAGAAAACAUAAAGUACAACACACAAACAUUUUAACGUGAUUUAGAACAACUACUCCUAUGUCCACGACCCUGACAAACAUGGGAAUCCCUUAACCUUGAGUUUCUUGUUUUGUAGCUGCAAGUCAGCUUGACUAGUCAUAUCACCUUAGACUGAUCACACGGUUACGCGACCGUGACUGUUGCUUAGGCGAUUUCCCGAUUGCAAUUUCGUUACUUAGUAAUUUUUACUGUUGCAAUUUCGUCCUUUGCAAUUUACACAGUUGCAAUUAGGGAUGGCAGUGGAUCCUAGACCCGGUCCAGAUCCGUGGAUCCAGAUCCGAUUUUACGGAUCUGGAUCUCAAUUUUUUGGAUCCGCGGAUCUGGAUCCGGAUCUGGAUCUCAUUUUCUAAAACGGAUCUGGAUCUGGAUCUUGACAUUUGAGAUCCGGAUCCGACCCAGAUCCGACCAGUGGAUCCGAUUUAAUUUAAAAUAUAUUAUUUAUUUUUUAUAUUUAUUUUAUUAAUAAUAUUAGAUAUAUUAAAAAUUAAAAAUAAUAAAAAAAGGAUAACUUUGAAAACCUAAUUUCUAAGUCAUUUCUCUCUCCCCUCUCGGUUCUUCACCUUCUCACUCCUGCGCCGCCUGACCUCCAUCGCUCACUCACUCCCAUCUCCUUCUCGGCUCAGUCACACCGCCUCACCUCCAUCGCCGGUCGCCUCCUCCACUUCGCUAGCCAGCCCGCCGCCGGAGAAAUCGGGAACAGCAGCAGCAGUGCAGCACACUCCAGUUCGUGCGACUCCAGCCGCUUCACUCCCAUCGUCGGUCUCCUUCUCCAAUUCGUCCGCCCGCCGCCGACGAAGGCAGGAACAGCAGCAGCACACUCCAGUUCGGCCGCCUCUCCAGUUCGGCUCGCAGCACGCUCCAGUACGCUCGCUCCAGCAGCAGCACGCUCCAGUUCGGCUCGCCGCCAGACUCCACCACCGCGGCGCCGCCAUCGUUCAGCCACGAGCUUGUCUACCACAGGAUGCUCUGAAUCAAAGGUUAGAUUUUGAUUUUGGGCAUGUUUAUGACUGAAAUUUUGAAUCUGAUUUGAAUUGAUUUAUAUUCGAAAUUUAUGAAUGUUUGUCUUAGGUUAUUAGGUUCUGAUUUGGAUUGUGAAUUUCUGAAUUAGGUUCUGUAUUUGUUAUGAAGUUAUGAAGUUAGAUUUGUGAUUUUACAAUGGUUCUGCAUUUGUUAGAAUUGGAGCAGGAAAUUAAUCUUUUGAAGAUGAUGUUAUGAAGUUAGAUUGUGAAGUUAUUAGGUUCUGCAUUUGUUAGAUUAUGAACUUAUUAGGAAAUUGGAGCAGGAAAUUAAUCUUUUGGAGCAGCAAGAAAUGAUGUUAUAUUUGUUUUGUUUGUGUAGGAGAGUGAAAAUAAGUUGAAUGAAGAAGAGUUUGUUGAACAACUUGUGAAUGUGAUUGUACUUGAAGAUGAUUCCACCAAGGCUAAAGUCAUUGGAACCGCGGAACUUGAUUUUCAUGACGGAUAUUAAAUGUUGUUGAUUUUGUACAAUAUUUUUCAUGAUGGAUAUUAAAUAUUGUUGAUUUUGUGAAUUUAUUUGUGAAUUUAAUUUGAAAACAGUAGAUCCAUGGAUCUGGACCCGCGGAUCCGCGGAUCUGACGGAUCUGGAUCUGGAUCCAAAAUUUUUAGAUCCGCGGAUCUGGAUCCGGUAUAUGCAAACGGAUCUGGAUCUGGUAUUGGUCAGACCCGGUCCAGAUCCGGCCCGUUGCCAUCCCUAGUUGCAAUAUUGUACUUAGCCAUUUACGUAGUUGCAAUACUGUAGGCAGCAAUUUGCGCGAUUGCAAUCCCAUUACUUGGCAUAUAAUCUAAACCUCACGAUUCAUGAUAAUAUUAUUAUGAGGAAUUGAUGUGAUAAUAUUUUCCUUGGGGUAUUAUUGUGAUAACCUAUGUUUUUCACCUAAAAAGAACACAAGAUAAAUGUGGGAAGAUAAUAUUUUAUCAUCUUUCUUAUCCCUGUUUUUCUAAUGAUAAAUUUACAACCAAAGAAAAUGCACUCUAAAAAUACAUUUAUCAAUCAUUUUAUUAAAACGCAUGUCCUCUAUUUUAUCAUAUAAUUUUUAUGGAGGGAAGCAAUAUUAAUUUGAAUAAAAUAUUUGUACAUAAUAUAAAAUUAUGUAUUAAAACAAAUCAACACUACAAUCUUAACCACUCGAGUUGGGGCCAUUUGUACUUAAUUGAUUCGGUGCACAAUAAACUUUUCAAUUAGAAAAAAAAAAGAUUGAAACUUGUUUGAGUGGGUGCAAAACUGUCAUGGAAUCAGGACCAAAUAUGUUGAAAAGAAAGCUAGGACUAUAGAAGAGAAACGAGAAGAAGAAGCAAAUAAUAAAAAUCGGAUAUUGGGAAAAAAAAGAAAAAAAGAAAUUGAUUGAAAUGGAAGAAGGUUUGUGUUGUCCACUCGUAGGCUAAAUUAGAGGCUAUGGCACUCUUUAUGUUCCAUAGUCUGUUGCUAAGUUGAUAUUUGAUAACUUGUGGAGAUUAUUAUGUACCUCGUUUAAGAAAAAUUAACAUUUGCACCUUUUGCAAUUAGAGCUGUCAAAAUUAGCUUGGUGUGAUGGGCUGGUCCAAUUCAUCUAGAUUUAAGGUUGGUUGAGCUCCAUAAAAUAAAGGUCCGGAAAAAAAUCGACCUAAAAAGUUCGUUCAAACGAUUUGUUGGAUUGGCUGGGCUUGCCCGAAGUUUUUGGGCUUUUUGACCUGCUCGAUUUUUUUAUAUAUAAGAAAUAUUUGUAAGAAUAAAAAAUUAAAAAAAAUGUAAAACCAUUUUCUAUAUUUUUCAUAAACGGAAGGAACAUAUUUUUGCGAAUCAUAUAUAGUAUUUAUCGUGAAGUAAAGAAACGAUCCAUGCAUACACAUACAACUCUUAAAUGAUCAAAGAUACACAAAUUUGCAAAGUCCAUAGAUUUAGAGGGUGUUUGGCUAAGCUUAUUUAAAAGAGCUUAUAAGCUCUUGGAGCUUAUAAGAUGUAAUUUUUAAGAGCUUAUAAGUUGUCAAAGUGUUUGGAUAAUUGAGCUUAUAAGCUAGAGAGAAUGUUUUUGCUAGAGAGAGAAAAUAUUUUUUUAGAGAGAGAAAAUCGAAGAAAAAUAAACUUGAAUAAUAUAUAAUGAAAAUAAUAAAUUAUAGUUGAAAAAUAUUUGUAAAAAGAUUAAUGUUGCAUAUGAGAUUAUAAAAAAAUAAGUUGGAGUAGAGAAACUUAUUUUUUGGGAGCUUAUAAGUUCUUGGAGCUUAUAAACUGUUUAGAAGCUUAUUUUGCCAAACACUUUGAAGGAGCUUAUAAGCUCAUAAACAGCUUAUGAACUGUUUUGAGGAGCUUAUAAGCUCAGCCAAACACCCUCUUAAUCACCCAACUUGCAUUCAUUAAGAAAAGUUGGCUGCAAUACAACUGACAAUCCCUAAUGAAUCUCCAUCCUACCAAUUCCUAAGUAAAAAAAUCAACAAAUAAUUAAAAUAUGCAUCCAAUUCUUCUAAAAAAAACUCUAAAACGAACAACUCCUGUAAAAAGCCAAAACUUUAGAAACUAGAAAACUAGUGCUAUUCGCAGUUUCCGACUACCUUAUUAUUAGCAUGGAAAAUUAAUUUUUUUUUUUUUAUUUGAUUUGAUUUACAAAGGAAUCAGGGGCCGAGGUGGAAUCCCGUGUUGGGUCGUCUCAUUUCGUUGGAACUCGACUGAGAAUAGUCGCUGACGUCGCUACCGGUGGUGAAGCUUUGAUUAGACAUCCCGGCGGCCGACUUUUGAAGUCUUUGCAAGUCGUAUUCGGAGUUGCUCGCCGACAAUGAUCCCUGCGCCUUCAUCACUUCCUGCAGAUCGUCUAACGACACAUCGCCUUCCAGAGCCCGAACAACCUAAAUUUGUUCAUUUUUAAGUUUUCUUCACACUUGAAAAAAACAGGAAAGGAAUUGAAGAAGAACCUGGCUCAUUUUAGGACGUCUUCUUGCAGAUUGUCUAAUGCAGGCGGCGGCGGCGGUUACCAUACGAAGCGCUUCUCCAUGCUCAUAGCGGCCUUCUAGCCGUGGAUCCAUCAGCUCUACGUAGCUUCCUCCUUCUCCCACCACGUUCAUCAAAAUUGGCCGAGCCUGCAAUUGUGUCAUCAUAUAUUACUCCUAUAUUAGUUUAACGCAAAAGAAGAAGAAGAUGAACAAGUUGGUUUAAUUACCCAAUCAACUAGAGUGUCAUCAUCAUCAUCCCUAGUGAUGUCGACAGGGCGUCGUCCAGUUAUAAGUUCUAGAAGCACGAUCCCGAACGAGUACACGUCGGAUUUGUCCGUGAGCUUCCCGCUCGAAGCAUACUCAGGCGCCAAGUACCUGUAUUAGAUGCCAAUUCAUUCAAUUAUCUAAUUACCUUCUUAUAUAUAGUAAUGGUGUCCAUCUUUUUUUUAUCAUAAUUUGUUGCUACUACUUUGAAAUUUAAGCUACUGGGACUAUGAGUGGGAGAAAUUAGUUAAAUUUCGUACCCAAACGUGCCCAUUAUACGGGUUGAAACAUGAGUAUUGUUGUCCGACGAAAGCUUGGCUAAUCCAAAAUCAGCCACCUGCGUCACAUAUAUGAAAAUAUUUGAUAUAACAACAAAUUAAAUAGGAUCAGACUACAAACUCAUUUUAAAAUAUGAAUCAUAAAUUAUGAAAAAUAUGAUGGAUUCGUCAUGAAAAGUGAUAAAUGAAAAAUAAAUCGCCAUCAAUGGGAUUCUAACCAGGAGCACCAAUAAAACGAUAAAUCCAAAAGUAGAUCAUGAUUUCUAAUUUAUAUUUGAAAAUGAAUUUUCAUUUUUGAAUCCCUCGACAAUAUAUAUAAUUUCUGUUGCAUUCUAAAAAAAUGGUAAUUAUAUACAUAGAUAUCCAGUGGCAUACCUUGGCUUCAAAAUUGUUAUCAAGCAAAAUGUUUGCAGCUUUAAUAUCUCUAUGGAUAAUGCGAGGAUGACCUGCUCGUUUAAUUUGCAUAAUCAAUUAUAUAUGAGGACUAUAGCACAUGUAAUGUAAUGUAAUAUAGAGAAUUAAUGUAUUAGAACAUACAAUCUUCGUGAAGGUAAGCAAAGCCUUUGGCAGCACCCAAAGCAAUUCUGAGCCUAGUCGAAAACUCCAUAGACUGGCGGUUUGUUCCUGAAAGGCAUAUAUAUGCAGGAGAUGGAGUGAGAUGAGAAAUAAUAUAAUUAAAGAGAAAUUAGAUGAUGAUGAUGCGGCAUAUAUAGCAUUAAUUACCAUGUAGGUGAUCCUCGAGAGUGGAGUUGGGGACAUACUCAUAAACCAACAUCCGCUGGGAUCCUGCGAUGCAGUAGCCAACCAAGGACACCAAAUGGCGGUGAUGCACGCGGCUGAUGAUAUCCACCUCCGCUUGGAACUCGCGCUCCCCCUGCCCGCUGUUGGACUUCAAGCUCUUCACCGCCACUUCCUUCCCGUUCGGCAGAACCCCCUUGUGCACGUACCCGAACCCCCCCUGCCCCAGGAGGUUCGCCUGCGCGAAACCCCCUGUCGCCGCCGCCAGGUCGUUGUACGAGAAUGUGCUCUGGUUGUACCCGCUCCACAUCAUCGCCGGAUGCGGCGCGGCAGCGGCGGCCCCGAGAAUCCGCCCGAACUCUGCGCGCUCAGCAUCGGCGGAGGCGGGGGCGGGCCGGCAUCCAUUGCUCCGAGCUCACCCCGGAGGUCGCCGGCACCGGGUAUUUCAUGUUGCCGUCCAUGGUCCUGUACCCCGGUUGUUCUGCCAAUUUCCUGCCUAUGCGACGUGUUGUUGUAGUAGUUUCCGCUGUAUAUAUAAUACCUGAAAUUAAUUAUGAGGAAAUUACACUUCAACUUCUCAACUGUAUAUGAUCAAAGGCUUGAGAUAUUGGGAUGGCAAAUUAAUUAAAAAUGACAUGGACCAAAAUGAUACUAUGCAUAUAUUAUUGAUUGAUGAUGUUUUUGUGAAAGCGUAAAAAGUUUAAGAUUAGAAUUGGAAUUUAAGUGAUAAUAAAGGUAACGUACGUACCUGAAUUAUGAGGCUUUUCUUGAUAAUAAUUUUUACUAUCAUCGCGAUUCUUGCGUUUCUUCUUUCUACAACAACAUAUGCAGCAGAUGAUAAAAAAGAGGAUUACCAUUCCUACCCCUACCGCCGACCCUAUAAUGGCGUGCUCACGAUCUUUAUUACUCGGCGGCGGCCACGGAAAUGAGAUCGAUUCUGCUAGAGCUUGCGGAGGGCCGCCGCUCCAGUCUUCAUCUAAUUCGCUAGGCGACAGCAGCUGCGGCGGCGGCGGCCCUCGAGGCUUGGUGUUGUUGCUGGGUGGGGGACUUUUUCUCAACGGCGGAGGAGGCGAACUCCAAUUGGGUGGAGGCGGGGAUGACGCGGUGGGUGGUGGAGGGGGUGAGGACGACGCCGGUGGUGGCGGCGAUGAUGCGGUGGGUGGUGGAGGGGGCGAGGAUGAGAUCGGCGGCGGAGGAGAAGGCGCCGACAACGGCGCCGAUGACGUUUCCUGUAGUAUACGCAUGNGCAGGGGCAACAGGUAAUCAUAAGAAUACAAAAUGGUACUACCCCAGCCUCUAUGAUCCACAUCAUCAUGCUUGUCUUAUUGUCUAGUAUUAAUUCAAUGACUCCGAGAAUGCAGAAGAAACUGCAGAUCUAAAGCUUAAUUAAGGUUCCGCAAAACAAUAUGCAAAUCGGAAUUGCAAUAAUAAACUGUUAAACUUAACGCCACUAAAUACAAAAUUCAAGCAUAUUCGUAAAAUUCUAACAGUGGUGAAUCAAAUAAACUACAUCGUUUGCAAAUUUUAAGAUAGAAUCAGGUUUCAUUGUGUGAUGGAUCAAGUGUAUAAGAUUAUCUAGAAUUCAAAUUCAUCACAAAUCAUACACUCCUGUAAUCCAGAAUUCGAACAGAUCUCAGAUCUGAAUCGAAUUUUAACUAGGAGAAGACGAUUGUAAAAUUGCCCUAAAAGAAACCCGAAAUGUAAAUUAGGAAGUAUGAAAAAAAUGAAUCGGGAGUGUUAAAUUAAACUCGAAUCAGAAGAAAAGCAAGUAAUCAGAUAAUGGAGUUCCAGGAAUGCACCUUCUUCAUCGCGAUCAUCAUCUUUCUUGACAAGCGGUUGAGCCAUUGUGCAGAGAUCUGCGUAGGAGAACUGAAAACAAACUAAUAAGGUUAAUUGUUGCCUGUGCCUGAAUAUAAGUGUACAAGAGGAGAAUUAGCAAAUCUGCCAACGCAGUUUCUAUUUAUUUGUGUAGAAUGGAGUGUAGAUCUCUCUCCCUCUCUCUGGGUUCCCAGAUGCAGCUUGACGAACAACCGAAGAUUUACUUGAGUGAUGUUAAUAAGGUUAGUGAGGGGUCAAUGGUGCGAUUGCGAAGGGUAAAUUCGGUAUUCCGUGUUUAAAGUGCACAUUUUUUUUGCGUUGUUCCAAUUUAUAAAAUUUUCAAAAUAACAGAGGUAAAUAUUAUUUUAAAUCUUAAACUAUAUUCAUUUUAUUAGAAAUAUUUUGAAUUAUAUAAAAAAUACUCUGUUAAUUUAAACAUUGAAUUAUUAACUUUGUGUCAAAAAUAUCCCGCAUUUAUAUUUCAACCCUUGAAAUUUCGACAUGACUUGUCGAAUGCUACUAUGUACAAUAAUUUUUAUUUUUUAAAUAACAUGGUACGAAUCGAAUGUCACUUGAAACCCCUCGACUAUCAACUGUUGUAAAUAAAAUAUAUAGCGUCCAUUUUCUGGCCUCCAAAAUAUUGAUAUUUCUUAUCGGAUGCUAUUGUAUUAUUUUUAUUUUAAAUACAUGACACAAAAUGAAUCUCAAACUAAUCUAAGUAGUCUACUUCUAAGACCAAAAUACCCUUCAGAAAGCCAUAACCAUAGACCUCAACGAAUUCGGACAAGUUCUCAAAUUGAUCGUCGUAACCUCACCAGAGCACCCGAUGUUUGAGAUGAAAGAAGACACAAAUGUUUGUGGAAAUGGAGCAGAGAAACCCCACGACCGUUGGUGAACAACUGAGCCACCAAACAUAAACCAUUGUUGUCUUAUGAUUUAUGUUGGUCCCGAGGCGAGUAUGUUCUGGUGUAUGAGAGGAAUACACCAUAUAUCAAAUUUUGCUCAUUUUCUGAUAGUAUUGAACAAUUUAGCUAGUAAUGAGCCAGCUAGAGAAAGACGUGUCAACUUGUUGAAAGCUACCUUACUAAUAAUUCAAGUACGCCUACUAACAAUAGGUGGACAGACAAUGAGGUUUCUGUUCAAACACGAAUACAGAAUUUGGUAGCUAGCAAAACUCACUUUAAUGAAAAUAUUUAAUGCGUGCACAAUAUCAGCGACUUGAAUCAAACUAAUAAAGUUUAGAAAUCAGUAUGUGCAAGUGCAGUUUGUGUGAUGCAUAAGGUCAGCUUGCUGAAAGCUUUGACAGAUAGAGCAAAACUGAACCAAAAUAGAGAUUGUAAAAACAUAAUCAUUUUUCUUCUGUAGUUGUCUUGUUGGUUUGUGGACGGUUGAUAUAAUAAGGUAAGAACAUUUUCAAUAAAAUAAAAAGAGAAAACAUAAAGUACAACACACAAACAUUUUAACGUGAUUUAGAACAACUACUCCUAUGUCCACGACCCUGACAAACAUGGGAAUCCCUUAACCUUGAGUUUCUUGUUUUGUAGCUGCAAGUCAGCUUGACUAGUCAUAUCACCUUAGACUGAUCACACGGUUACGCGACCGUGACUGUUGCUUAGGCGGUUUCCCGAUUGCAAUUUCGUUACUUAGUAAUUUUUACUGUUGCAAUUUCGUCCUUUGCAAUUUACACAGUUGCAAUAUUGUACUUAGCCAUUUACGUAGUUGCAAUACUGUAGGCAGCAAUUUGCGCGAUUGCAAUCCCAUUACUUGGCAUAUAAUCUAAACCUCACGAUUCAUGAUAAUAUUAUUAUGGGGAAUUGAUGUGAUAAUAUUUUCCUUGGGGUAUUAUUGUGAUAACCUAUGUUUUUCACCUAAAAAGAACACAAGAUAAAUGUGGGAAGAUAAUAUUUUAUCAUAUUUCUUAUCCCUGUUUUUCUAAUGAUACAACCAAAGAAAAUGCACUCUAAAAAUAAUUUAUCAAUCAUUUUAUUAAAACCAUGUCCUCUAUUUUAUCAUAUAAUUUUUAUGGAGGGAAGAAUAUUAAUUUGAAUAAAAUAUUUGUACAUAAUAUAAAAUUAUGUAUUAAAACAAAUCAACACUACAAUCUUAACCACUCGAGUUGGGGCCAUUUGUACUUAAUUGAUUCGGUGCACAAUAAACUUUUCAAUUAGAAAAAAAAAAGAUUGAAACUUGUUUGAGUGGGUGCAAAACUGUCAUGGAAUCAGGACCAAAUAUGUUGAAAAGAAAGCUAGGACUAUAGAAGAGAAACGAGAAGAAGAAGCAAAUAAUAAAAAUCGGAUAUUGGGAAAAAAAAGAAAAAAAGAAACUGAUUGAAAUGGAAGAAGGUUUGUGUUGUCCACUCGUAGGCUAAAUUAGGGCUAUGGCACUCUUUAUGUUCCAUAGUCUGUUGCUAAGUUGAUAUUUGAUAACUUGUGGAGAUUAUUAUGUACCUCGUUUAAGAAAAAUUAACAUUUGCACCUUUUGCAAUUAGAGCUGUCAAAAUUAGCUUGGUGUGAUGGGCUGGUCCAAUUCAUCUAGAUUUAAGUUGGUUGAGCUCCAAAAAUAAAGGUCCGGAAAAAAAUCGACCUAAAAAGUUCGUUCAAACGAUUUGUUGGAUUGGCUGGGCUUGCCCGAAGUUUUUGGGCUUUUUGACUGCUCAUUUUUUUAUAAUAAGAAAUAUUUGUAAGAAUAAAAAAUUAAAAAAAAUGUAAAACCAUUUUCUAUAUUUUUCAUAAACGGAAGGAACAUAUUUUUGCGAAUCAUAUAUAGUAUUUAUCGUGAAGUAAAGAAACGAUCCAUGCAUACACAUACAACUCUUAAAUGAUCAAAGAUACACAAAUUUGCAAAGUCCAUAGAUUUAGAGGGUGUUUGGCUAAGCUUAUUUAAAAGAGCUUAUAAGAUGUUUCAAGAGCUUAUAAGAUGUAAUUUUUAAGAGCUUAUAAGUUGUCAAAGUGUUUGGAUAAUUGAGCUUAUAAGCUAGAGAGAGAAAAUAUUUUUUUAGAGAGAGAAAAUCGAAGAAAAAUAACUUGAAUAAUAUAUAAUGAAAAUAAUAAAUUAUAGUUGAAAAAUAUUUGUAAAAAGAUUGUUGCAUAUGAGAUUAUAAAAAAAUAAGUUGGGGUAGAGGAACUUAUUUUUUGGGGAGCUUAUAAGUUCUUGGAGCUUAUUUUUGGAGCUUAUAAGCUGUUUAGGAGCUUAUUUUGCCAAACACUUUGAAGGAGCUUAUAAGCUCCUAAACAACUUAUAAACUGUUUUGAGGAGGUUAUAAGCUCAGCUAAACACCCUCUUAAUCACCCAACUUGCAUUCAUUAAGAAACAUUCAUUAAGAAAAGUUGGCUGCAAUACAACUGACAAUCCCUAAUGAAUCUCCAUCCUACCAAUUCCUAAUUAAAAAAAUCAACAAAUAAUUAAAAUAUGCAUCCAAUUCUUCUAAAAAAAAACUCUAAAACGAACAACUCCUGUAAAAAGCCAAAACUUUCGAAACUAGAAAACUAGUGCUAUUCGCAGUUUCCGACUACCUUAUUAUUAGCAUGGAAAAUUAAUUUUUGUUUUUUUUUUAAUUUUGAUUUGAUUUACAAAGGAAUCAGGGGCCGAGGUGGAAUCCCGUGUUGGGUCGUCUCAUUUCGUUGGAACUGGACUGAGAAUAGUCGCUGACGUCGCUACCGGUGGUGAAGCUUUGAUUAGACAUCCCGGCGGCCGACUUUUGAAGUCUUUGCAAGUCGUAUUCGGAGUUGCUCGCCGACAAUGAUCCCUGCGCCUUCAUCACUUCCUGCAGAUCGUCUAACGACACAUCGCCUUCCAGAGCCCGAACAACCUAAAUUUGUUCAUUUUUAAGUUUUCUUCACACUUGAAAAAAACAAGGAAAGGAAUUGAAUAAGAACCUGGCUCAUUUUAGGACGUCUUCUUGCAGAUUGUCUAAUGCAGGCGGCGGCGGCGGUUACCAUACGAAGCGCUUCUCCAUGCUCAUAGCGGCCUUCUAGCCGUGGAUCCAUCAGCUCUACGUAGCUUCCUCCUUCUCCCACCACGUUCAUCAAAAUUGGCCGAGCCUGCAAUUGUGUCAUCAUGUAUUACUAUAUUAGUUUAACGCAAAAGAAGAAGAAGAUGAACAAGUUGGUUUAAUUACCCAAUCAACUAGAGUGUCAUCAUCAUCAUCCCUAGUGAUGUCGACAGGGCGUCGUCCAGUUAUAAGUUCUAGAAGCACGAUCCCGAACGAGUACACGUCGGAUUUGUCCGUGAGCUUCCCGCUCGAAGCAUACUCAGGCGCCAAGUACCUGUAUUAGAUGCCAAUUCAUUCAAUUAUCUAAUUACCUUCUUAUAUAUAGUAAUAGUGUCCAUCUUUUUUUUAUCAUAAUUUGUUGCUACUUUGAAAUUUAAGCUACUGAGACUAUGAGUGGGAGAAAUUAGUUAAAUUUCGUACCCAAACGUGCCCAUUAUACGGGUUGAAACAUGAGUAUUGUUGUCCGACGAAAGCUUGGCUAAUCCAAAAUCAGCCACCUGCGUCACAUAUAUGAAAAUAUUUGAUAUAACAACAAAUUAAAUAGGAUCAGACUACAAACUCAUUUUAAAAUAUGAAUCAUAAAUUAUGAAAAAUAUGAUGGAUUCGUCAUGAAAAGUGAUAAAUGAAAAAUAAAUCGCCAUCAAUGGGCCGGGAUUCUAACCAGGAGCACAAUUUCAUACAAUAAAACGAUAAAUCCAAAAGUAGAUCAUGAUUUCUAAUUUAUAUUUGAAAAUGAAUUUUCAUUUUUGAAUCCCUCGACAAUAUAAUAUAUAUAAUUUCUGUUGCAUUCUAAAAAAAUGGUAAUUAUAUAAUAGAUAUCCAGUGGCAUACCUUGGCUUCAAAAUUGUUAUCAAGCAAAAUAUUUGCAGCUUUAAUAUCUCUAUGGAUAAUGCGAGGAUGACCUGCUCGUUUAAUUUGCAUAAUUAAUUAUAUAUGAGGACUAUAGCACAUGUAAUGUAAUGUAAUAUAGAGAAUUAAUGUAUUAGAACAUACAAUCUUCGUGAAGGUAAGCAAAGCCUUUGGCAGCACCCAAAGCAAUUCUGAGCCUAGUCGAAAACUCCAUAGACUGGCGGUUUGUUCCUGAAAGGCAUAUAUAUGCAGGAGAUGGAGUGAGAUGAGAAAUAAUAUAAUUAAAGAGAAAUUAGAUGAUGAUGAUGCGGCAUAUAUAUAUAUAGCAUUAAUUACCAUGUAGGUGAUCCUCGAGAGUGGAGUUGGGGACAUACUCAUAAACCAACAUCCGCUGGGAUCCUGCGAUGCAGUAGCCAACCAAGGACACCAAAUGGCGGUGAUGCACGCGGCUGAUGAUAUCCACCUCCGCUUGGAACUCGCGCUCCCCCUGCCCGCUGUUGGACUUCAAGCUCUUCACCGCCACUUCCUUCCCGUUCGGCAGAACCCCCUUGUGCACGUACCCGAACCCCCCCUGCCCCAGGAGGUUCGCCUGCGCGAAACCCCCUGUCGCCGCCGCCAGGUCGUUGUACGAGAAUGUGCUCUGGUUGUACCCGCUCCACAUCAUCGCCGGAUGCGGCGGCGGCAGCGGCGGCCCCGAGAAUCCGCCCGAACUCUGCGCGCUCAGCAUCGGCGGAGGCGGGGGCGGGGCCGGCAUCCAUUGCUCCGAGCUCACCCCGGAGGUCGCCGGCACCGGGUAUUUCAUGUUGCCGUCCAUGGUCCUGUACCCCGCGUUGUUCUGCCAAUUUCUCUGCCUAUGCGACGUGUUGUUGUAGUAGUUUCCGCCUGUAUAUAUAAUACCUGAAAUUAAUUAUGAGGAAAUUACACUUCAACUUCUCAACUGUAUAUGAUCAAAGGCUUGAGAUAUUGGGAUGGCAAUUAAUUAAAAAUGACAUGGACCAAAAUGAUACUAUGCAUAUAUUAUUGAUUGAUGAUGUUUUUGUGAAAGCGUAAAAAGUUUAAGAUUAGAAUUGGAAUUUAAGUGAUAAUAAAGGUAACGUACGUACCUGAAUUAUGAGGCUUUUCUUGAUAAUAAUUUUUACUAUCAUCGCGAUUCUUGCGUUUCUUCUUUCUACAACAACAUAUGCAGCAGAUGAUAAAAAAGAGGAUUACCAUUCCUACCCCUACCGCCGACCCUAUAAUGGCGUGCUCACGAUCUUUAUUACUCGGCGGCGGCCACGGAAAUGAGAUCGAUUCUGCUAGAGCUUGCGGAGGGCCGCCGCUCCAGUCUUCAUCUAAUUCGCUAGGCGACAGCAGCUGCGGCGGCGGCGGCCCUCGAGGCUUGGUGUUGUUGCUGGGUGGGGGACUUUUUCUCAACGGCGGAGGAGGCGAACUCCAAUUGGGUGGAGGCGGGGAUGACGCGGUGGGUGGUGGAGGGGGUGAGGACGACGCCGGUGGUGGCGGCGAUGAUGCGGUGGGUGGUGGAGGGGGCGAGGAUGAGAUCGGCGGCGGAGGAGAAGGCGCCGACAACGGCGCCGAUGACGUUUCCUGUAGUAUACGCAUGAGAUUACCCCGCUUCCGUGCAAUAACCUAAUUAAGAGUUACGUUAUUAAUCUUAUGUCAAACAUAAUAGUAUUGAACAUGAAAUCUUUAAAAUUUUAAGAUAAUUAAUGACAUUAAUUCAUGGAAUUGGAAGUGAAGCCACACAAGUGGAGAGGCGGAGAGAGUGAAGAGAGAGAAGGGAAGGGAAGAAAAUGAAUAGUAUACCUAGAGAUGAUUCUCUAAAGAUGCUGCUUUCAACGAAGAAAACUAGUAAACUAUGACCCUCUUCCAUAAGUCUCCUACAACAAUGGAAAUCAACUGUCGUUUUCUAUUUUUAGGUCUUUUUGUUACAUGAUCCGAAUAAGUUGUCGUCUAAAGUAUUUCAAUUUCGCUUACAAAUUAUUCACUACACGUCAUGCUUAUACUACAAUAUAAGUAUACAACUUAAAUAUAGCAGUAAAUUGAGGAUCUCAUUCUAUUUGUAAACCUAUUAUUUGGCCUUAGCUAUCCAAAAAUAAUAGAGAACAUUAUUCUUAGACAAGAUAUAUUUUACAUCUUAAUUAUCGUAAAUAAUUGCAUUUUUUAUAUAUAAAAAAGAAAAAAGAAGUAUGUGGAAAUAAAUUCAAUUUGAAAGGUAAAAUUAGAAUCCAAAAAAAUUACAUGAUUCACUAGCUACCAUAUUGAAAACGUUGGCACACUUCAAACAAAUAAUAUAUUACCUCCAUCCCCAAAUAAUUUUCUAAAAGGAGACGACACAAAUUUUAAGGAAAUGUUGUUAAGUGUAUUGGUAGUGAAGAAAAAGUGUAUAAUUAGUAUUGAAAAUGGUAAAAAGGUGUUAUAUUAGUAUUGAGAAUUGUGAAAUGUUGAAAAAUAAGAAUAAAUAAAGUAUUAUUAGUGGCGGGGUAAUAUUCCAAAAUGGAUAAAAAGUUAUUUGGGGGACAUCACAAAAAGAAAAUAUAGAAAAUUAUUUGGGGGACGGAAGGAGUAGUUAUUUUAUAAAGAAAAUUACAAAACGAUUUCAGUAUAAAAAGGAUUAUGUGAACUUUCUUUAAAAUAAUACUAAUGUAUCUAUAUAUCGGUUGUAUUAAUUAUUAUAAAUCUAUAAAUAUUAAAAGUUGAAUUUUAAUAUUAUUAUAUUUUAAAUAUAUAAUCCAUGUGCAUCGCACAUGCGGUAUACUAUAUAUAUAUAAAAAUAUGUAAAUAAAUUCAAUUAGAAGGAUAUAAUUGAAAAUUCACAAUUGAAAUAUCUAAUAAAUAGAUACUCAACUAGUUUAUACCAACAUGCAUGUAGUAUAAAUAAUCAAACUAAAUUCACGUUUUUUUUUUCAAAAAAGAAAAAGGAAAAAAAAUGAAUUCACUUAUCCAACCAACAAUUAAGGCAUGAUAACUUAGGAUUGUUUUAGGGUUAAUGCCAUGUAAAACCAUGACUUUUGGGCAUAUUCUGAUUUUAACCUCUGACAAAAAAUUAUACUUGUAAAACCACAAACUUUGAGUACAUUCUGAUUUUAACCUUUAUCAAAAGAUUCAGCCUGUAAAAUCGCAAACUUUUAAUUAUUUUUUAUUUUAACUAUGAGAACAGUAUACGACCACAUACAUAAAUUUAACUAGAGUACAUUCUGCAUGAUUGUAAUUAGGGUAUAUUUAAUUUAUUUAUUUUUUUAAGUAUGAAACAACAUCAUUUAACACUACAAAAAUACGUGGGAUUGUCGGCCGAAAUUACCGGCGGCGACACGUAAUAACUGGCGGCCCUUCGACGGCGGAAGAGCUGACCCGUUUUUUUAAAAAACAUGGGCGCAAGUACCGACGGCACCAAAGCCGUCGGUGAUCACCAGGGGCAUUACCGCCGGUAUUAAAGGUUGCCGCCGCUAAAUAUGUUUUAUUAUUAUUUUUUUUAAUAAUACCGGCGGCUCAUGAUUGGCGGCGGGAGUCGACGCCGCCGGUAAAUGCGAUGCGGGUCGGCCAUUACUGGCGGCCCAUGCCGCCGCUAAUUUAAAGGCCCAAAUACGGGCAUGCUGCUAGGGCAGCAACACACCCGCCGUCCCCCCCUUCUCUCUCAAGCUCCAGCCCCCUCUCGCCGCUCGCCGCCGCCGUCGUCGCCAUCCGCCGCCGUCCAGGUAAGCUCCCUUCUUCCUUUGUGUCUUUCUCUCUCUGACCCUCUCUCUCUCUCAUUUCAGCCCCGCCACCGCUAUCGCCACCACCACCGCUCCGCCGUCGACCACUACUGUACGCUCUCAUUCUCGCCAUUUUAUUUAUUUAUUCAUUUACUAUUAUUUUGUUAGAUUAAAAUAAUAUUAAUUAGAUUAAUUUUAUUUAAUUUAUAGUAUGUUUAGUUGUGAAGUAUGAUUAAUUUUAUGUUUACUUAUGAAUUAAUAAAUAAAUAUUUUUUUCGAUAGAAAAAUAAGGACGGAAACGAGACCGAUCUGUAAUUAACAACAUCUCUUGGAUAUCAUCUCGACAUAUUCUAAGGUUAUGAAUAUAUGAUAUUAUAUAUUGAAAUAGACUUUAAAUGAAUUAAUAGGUACUAGAUAUAUCAAUAAUACGAGUGUUCUGUACUGGUGACCACUCGAAAGGAACUUCAAGGUUAAGCGUGCUUGACUUAGAGCACAACUAAGAUGGGUGACCGACUGGAAAGUUCGUCUAACGUAUGCAAUACUGUAUGAAUACGAAAAUACUUGUGGGUAUAAAUAAAUAAAUAAAAACAAAUUACCGGCGGCAGGUUGCCUCCGCUAAUCACCGGCGGCCAAAAAACGCCGAUCAGGUGAGCGGCGCGCCACCGCUGUCCGGUCAAGGUUACCGACGGCGACUUUGCCGCCGCUAAUCACCGGCAACUGGCGAGUGGCACCACCGCCGUCCGGUCAAUAUUACCGGCGGCGGUGGCACCGCCGCUAAUCACCAGAGGCCCAUGCCGUCGGUAAAAGUCCGGCAUAGCUCCGCCGAUCGAUGGUGACAUUCAAUGGCGGCGUCACCGCCGUUAGUUACCGGCGGCGGCCAUUUGCUGGCCGCCGCCGGUAUAUGAAUCACCGACGAGGAAAUUACAGGCGACAACCCGCCGCCGGUGAUCUCAAUACCGACGACCGCCCUAUGUUUAUCGACGGCAAACGCCACCGAUAAUCUCAAUUUUUUUUGUAGUGUAACAUUUAUUAAUCACAUCAACUAGUUAUAAGCCACGUAAGAUUAAAUUCCACGUACGUGAUCAGAUACUAUUCACGUAGUUAAAGUCGGAAACAUUUGAAAGUUCGUGAUUUUACAGCCAGAAUCUUUUGUUAGAGGUUAAAGUGAGAAUAUGCCCAAAGUUCAUGGUUUUACAUGCAGAAUAUUUAUUUAGAGGUUAAAACCAGAAUAUGCCCAAAGUUUUUUAUGAGCCAUUACUAAUCCAUUGUUUUAUUUGCAUAGAUCAUUUAUUUUCUUUUUACAUUUAAAUGCGUUCUAAGUAAAAUACGCAAUAUGUAUAUCAAAUAACAGUGUAUAAAAAGAGGUUGAAUUUAAAAUGAAUAUGUUAUAAUAAUUUAAUUUUUGAGCAUAUUACUUGAAUGAAAUAACUUUUUGAAUUUGAAUGUAGUUAUAAAUGUCACAUAUUUUAAAAAUACUAUCAUAUUAUAAUAAUAAUAAUAAUUGUUAUCUUAAUUACUAGUAUAUAUAUAAACAGAAGAAUGAAUAAUUUAUUUUAAAAUAGGAUUAAUAUUCUAAAAUAGCUAUUAAUGUAUUAUUACUACUACUUAAAAAUGCAAGUUCUCAAGAAGAAAUCAAAUUAUUUUGUUACUUAUGGACUAUUUAGUUUUAGUUUAUUAUGUUUUCUCUUUAUUGUGCAUUUUUUUUCUAUUUUUGUAUAAUUUUCUUGGGAUAAAAUAUGCAAUAUUUAAUUAUGUAUAUAUCUUUAAAAAAAAGAUCAUGAAUAACCUUUAAUUUGAUAUAUGAAAGGUAUAAUUCAAUUUAAAUGAGCAAAUUAUGAAAAUUUAAAAUUUGUGUGUAUAUAUAUAUAUAUAUAUAUAUAUUUCACUUUUUAGUUUUUUUUUAAAGAAAAAAUUAAUUUUCUCAAAAUUUGAGAUUACUGACAUGCUUAAACAUCUUGAAAUCCCGAAAUUAGCUUGAUCUUCGACGUGGUGUAGAUGACAUGUGACUUCAUCAUCUUCGGCGCAUGAAUCUCGACGACUUCGUCAUCUUGAACAAAUUGAGUUUCGUCCAAGUUGAUAGGAUCAAGACCUUGAUAGUAGAAUGCAUUGGAGGCUUGAGUAAAUGAUGAGAAGCCGAUAGGGGAAGAAUUUGGUAUCGAUAGAUGACGAAUUUGGUUGGUUGAAGAGCCAAUUGUUCAAGUCACGUUCUAUUUUUUUUCAAGAGAAAGAACAAGAACGAAAUUUAAAUUGGAAGAAGAAGAAAUGAAGAAGUAUAUAUUUAAAUGUGAUGUAAAAAAUGAAUGAAAAUAAGAGGUAUUUAUAGGAUAAAUUAGAUAAAGAAAAAGGGAAAAUGUUAUUGCAGCAACAUCUAUUUAACAAAAAUAAAAUGCUAAACAAUAAAAUUCCAAAUUUAAUAUAUAUAGGGAGAGGUUCACGAAAGAACCACUAAAUAAAAGAAGAACGGAGAACUAUUUUCAGCCAUUCGAUCAUCAAGAUCUACGGUGGAUGCAUCAUCUUGUUGGAUGAAUGCAGAUCCUGGGUUCGAAUCCUGAAGGGAGCAUUUUUUUUUAAUUUUUAGUUGCUAUUAAUUUUUAACAGUCGUAAUUGCUAUUAAUUUUUACAGUUGGAUGCUAUUAGAUGGUUNUAUAUAUAUAUAUAUAAUAUAUAUAUAUAUAUAUAUAUAUGGUAGGUUAAUAUAAAAACCCCUCUUAAAGAUGAAAACUAGGAAUCAAUUUAAAGCCAUUGAUUUAAAUAAAAUAGAGGGCUGAGAUUAAACUACAGAUGCACAAUUUCGAUUGCAUAGAUGCACAGUUUCAAUUGCAUAGAUGCACAAUUUCGAUUUGCUUGAGUAUUUUGCAUUGUUGGUUUCAAUUGCAUAAAUUGCAUAUUUUUUAAGUGCACAGUAAAAUAUAAUAGAUGCACAGUUUCUUUUGUUGACUAAAUCCUAACCAUUAGAUCUAAUAUUUAAAAGGUCAAGAUUAGGUUCCUAGUUUUCAUUUUAACAGAGGUUUUUAUUAGAACAUCUUCCUCUAUAUAUAUAUAUACUAUAUAUAUAUAUAUAUAUAUAUAUAUAUCUAUUGGAGAUAGUGAAAAUUAAUAAUUGUUCGUAUAAUAUUAUUAUACUCCCUCCGUCCCUAAAAUAACUUCCUCUUUUUCCAUUUUGGGACGUCCCCCAAAUAACUUCCUCUUUCUUUUUUCCAUUUUUGGACACCUACCCCACCACUAAUAAUACUUUAUUUAUUCUUACUUUUCACUUUUCACCACUCCCAAUACUAAUUAUAACACCUUUCACAACUUUCAAUAAUAAUUAUAUCACUUUUUUUCCACUAUCAAUACACUUUACAACUUUUUAUUAAAACCCGUGCCGUCCCCAAAGAGGAAGUCAUUUCAGGGACGGAGGGAGUAAUAAAAUAUAGUUAAUUUUAACUGUUUCGAAUGAAAUUAUCUUCGCCUUUAAUAUAUUUAUUCUACAAAAAUUAUUGCUCUCUUUUUUUUCUCUCUCACCUUCGCUAUUUGUUUCUCUCUGAAAUCCUACUUUUUUCACCGCGCCACCGAGCUGCUCUCUCUCUCUCUUUGAUGUCACACGUAUGCAGUCGUCAACAUUAUCUUAUUCAGAUAUACUUCUAAUGGAGAUCUAUGAGAAUUAUGAGAUGCAAGAUGGAUUUAAAAUGAACAGAAUGAAUUUAUAUCAUCCGUUUCAAGACCUGUCAUCUCAGGUGGUCAACACGGCAAUUAAUUAGCACCAUGCACAAUAGGUGCUUGUGCCUAGAGCAUGGAUCCAUUUGCGAAAGCUCUCCAAUGGUAACCCAUUAGUUAUAGCAUAUAGUUAGGAAUCAUUGGUGAAGAUCCUUAGUGGUAUCCAUAUCAAAUCAUUGUAGAAUCGGUUCUGGCUAUAAGUUAGAUUCGCGAGAUUUGGGUUUAUGUUGUUAUUAUUCUGUAAGAUUUGUACUUGUUUUUGUAGUUGGGAUUAUUGUAAAAUAAAGAAUAUGAAUUAAAUACUCCCUCCGUCCGCCAAAAGUAUUCCACUUUGGCUGGGCACAGAGUUUAAUAAAAUGUGUGAUGAUGUUGAUGUAGUGGAGAAAUGGUCCCACCACUUUAUGAGAUGUGUGGUUGAGAUUGAAUUUGGGGUGGAUCUUUUGUAAAUAAAGAGUGUUUGUAAGGAUAAAAUAUAAAGGUGGAUAAUGGGACCAUGGCUUAAAAAGGAAAGUGGAAUACUUUUUGCGGACGCCAAAUAUAGUAAUUGUGGAAUACUUUUGGCGGACGGAGAGAGUAUUAUUUUUGAAUUUGUGUUAUUUUUAUAAAUUUGUGUUAUUCCUUAUUAUUUCACAUUUUUAUCGUGCAGGCACAUGGGACGAAUGGUACUAAUAUUUCAUUUUGCACCAUUCGUCCCAAGAUCUGUUAUUGCCUAUUGUUGGAACGAAUGGUAUGAAAUGUCAUAUUCGAACCAUUGGUCUAGUUGAUGUCGUGCAAAAUAUUGAGAUGAAUGGAACGAAAGGACAUAUAUAUUCACAUCAUUCAUGAUAAGGUCUUUCGCGCUUGUGUUGAUACGAGUAGGCCCUUUGACACUUCAUACCAUUCGUCCCAACAUUUUGUCACAAUAAAAGUAACACUUAAAAUUAGGAGAAAUGGUUCGAAUAUGCUAUUUCGCACCAUUCGUGUCAAACACUUGGCGCGACAAAGAAUGAGAUGAAUAUUCUAUAUCGCAUCAAUCGUCCCAAUAUCUUUCUCGCCAAGGGUUUGAUACGAAUGGUAUCAAUAUUUCAUUUCGUAACAUUUGUGCCAAAGUCUGUCGCACAAAGUGUUGGAAUGAAUGGUAUGAAAUGCAAAAUGGCCUACUCGUGUCAACAUUAGCGCGAAAGACCUUGAGGCUAAUUGUGUGAAAUAACAUAUUCGUACCAAACACUUGGUGUGAAAGACAUUGGGACGAAUGGUUCGAAUAUGACAUUUGUCCCACAAAAAUGGCGCAAUAAAAAAUAAUACACUUGCAGUUUGUUCUAACAAAUCCAACUAUAAUUGAUUAACAUAAUUCGAAUCAAUAUUUUCUUCAUUUUCCAAACAUACAAUUACAAAUCAUAUGAGAAAAUCAACGCAAAAUCUUAUAACUAACACAAAAUCGAACUAGAAUUCCUAAGCUAAAUCUUCAUUUUUCAUCAUUCCUUCACUUUCUUGCACUGAAGAAAGACAUCGUGCGGGGGGGUGACAAUGAUGAAUAGGAGAAGGCUAGAGAAUGUUCUUCCUCACCUCAAUCCUAUGUACUUGGCACAGAUGGAACAAAUUCAUCUCUGGUUACGCACUCUUCACGAUUGGACCACAAUUAUUUUUCGUUUCACUCGUUCCUCGCAUAUGCGAGUUACGUUCCUCGCAUAUGCGAGUUAGAUCUCCGGGUGGCUGGCACGAUCGAAUUGAUCCAUUGGCAUAAUUCGUAUCAGUCCUGACAGAUCUUUGUAUGGACAACAUGAAUGGGGCUAAUAGGCACGUUGGUCCCUUCCAUUCCUCUGUUUGAUACGACAAAUAAUGGAAUGGAUGGUACGAUUUCGUACCAUUUUAUUCCAGAUCUUCUUAGAUCUAGUUUUGCAUCUCAUGACUUUCAUAAAUCUGGAACUCCUUGAAUUGCUGGAACUCGUAAAACUCAUACUCCCUCCGUCCAUGAAAGAACUUCCUAGGAUGGAGUAACCCGGGUUUUAAGAAAAAAUAUUGUUGAGUUUAUUGAGAGUGGAUAAAAGGUAGUUGAGUGUAUUGGGAGUGGUAAAAAGGUGUUAUGAUUAAUAUUGAGAGUUGUGAAAAGUGAAAUGUAAGAUGAUUAUAAGUGGUGGGGUAUAGUCCAAAAAUAGGUAGGAAAUUCUUUUGUGGACGUCCCAAAAAUGAAAGAUAGGAAGUUCUUUCGUGGACAGAGGGAGUAUUUCACUGCAUUCUAUGAGGAGAUAAUAUUGACGGCGACAACAAAGAAAGAGAGGGAGUAGCGAAAGAGACAAAUAUUUGGAGAGAGAUACUUAAGAGUGGAGGAGGCGCGGCGACAUAACUAGGAUUUUAAAGAAAGAGAAAGAGGAAGUUCUAAAGUAAUGAGGAGAGAGAGAGAGAGAGAGAGAGAGAGAGAGAGAGAGAGAGCCGUAACUGUUCAAUCGAAUCAAAACCCGGAUUCAAUUUGGAUCGCCUGUCUGGCAACACGCACGAAGAGAUAGAGAGAGACGCCUUUUGUCGCAGAAACUUUAGAUCGGGUCAACUUCCCAGUCCGAACCCGAAACCAUGCCGUCUCGUAGAAGAGCUCUCCUCAAGGUCAUCAUCCUCGGCGAUAGCGGGUCUGUUUUUUCACUAAACUCGAUUGUUUAUCUGUGAAUUGGUCGAUGUGAGAGAAUUCUCGCCGUUUCGGAUUUGAUUGGUUUAAUUUAUUCUUCCAUACGCGAAAUCGAUGAAAUUAGGAUGAUGGAUCGAUUCAAUUCGAACUGAUUCAGAUUCAUUCACAUGAGUUUGGAUCUCGAAUUCUGUUGAAAGGAAACGAAGUAGUGAAAUUUUUGAGAAUUGAAAUUUAUUGCAUGCUAUUCCUGUUAAAAUAAUACCAAGUCGGACUCUUUACUUAAGAUGCAAUCAAUAAGAGUGAGAUGAAAUAAUUUGCAAAUAAGCAAAACGCGGGGAAAUUAUCGAGCCUGUGAGACAAAUUUGUUUAGUAGUUUUCCGCUCUAAAAUCCUAGCCAAGCAUAGGUUAUAAUGACCUACCUAUAUAUGUCUAAGUGUGUUCUUCUGUACAAAUUGGGUUGAUAGCUAAUUGGUUAAUGUAUUUGUGUAUGUUUUUUUCAGGGUGGGCAAGACCUCAUUGAUGAACCAGUAUCCUCAAUCCUACUCAUUUGUUACAAUAAUUGCUGAUGUAAAAUGUAAUUUACUGCUUCUGUUAUGAAAAACUCGUUCGUGUUAUUAUUUGUAUGAUGUGCUCUUGACUUGUUGAUUAAAGAUAUGUAAACAAGAAGUUUAGCAACCAAUACAAGGCGACAAUUGGGGCAGAUUUCUUGACAAAGGAAGUGCAGUUUGAGGAUCGGCUUUUCACUUUACAGGUACGUACGGAAGCUGCUUGUUUUAUCUUUCUAACAAUUAUCGCAUGUGAUUCAAUUCGACUGAACAAGUAAACAUAAAUUUCAAGUUUCUUAUACAUGUUCAUAACAAAGAAAUAGUUUUGCUCCUCUCUAAUAUAGCUGGUUCUGACUCAAUCUGAUGAAGAUUUGCUCUAAAAUGGAUGGGCCUUUAGAUGCUAUAACAAUUCUGUUUAUUUACACAUCACAGUUGUGAUAAUAAGUAAAGAGAGUAUAUUUUUCUUUAUUUAAAAGUUCUGAGCUUUAAAUUUGGAUUGUGAAAAAUAUACACACCUUGAUAAAGCCAUUGGAGAAUCACAUCAUACAGCUCAGUUUAGACACUGGAUAUGUAAUCAUAUUACUGAUAUUUGUAAACUGUUUGUCUUCAUACUAUCUGUUAUCUUCCUCAUUAUAAUCCCUCUUAUGCCCUAUGGUUGGGUCUGUGUAUAAUUAGAUAUGGGAUACAGCUGGCCAAGAAAGAUUUCAAAGUCUUGGGGUUGCUUUCUACCGUGGUGCCGAUUGCUGUGUGCUUGUCUAUGAUGUCAAUGUCAUGAAAUCUUUUGACAAUCUUAAUAAUUGGAGGGAAGAGUUCUUGAUUCAGGUAUUUGCAGUUCUUAUUUCGUCUGAGAAUACCCUCCUCCAGUUCGCUCGUUUUUUUCCCUUCAAAUCAAUAUAAGCUCAAGAUCCACUGAUAAUUUUUUUUAAAAUUAUAUUUGAGCAUGAAUCUUAUCACGCAUCAACCCUCAUUUCUGCAAGCAUAUUGCCUUGUGAUGGGUUUAGAUUAACAAAUAAGUAUUUUUCUGCAUUAAGUAAAUUAGAAUGCGUAUAUAUGCAGAUAAAGGGGAAGGAUUGUAGGGUAAAUUUUUCAGGAUAGGUUUCACCUUUUUAAUGUGUUCUUCAUGUUGGGGGACACAGGUGAGAAGGUGGUCUAAGUUACUGCAACUUGAAAUUCUUCAUGACAUAUUGCCAAAUGUUACUUAAGAAUUCUUACAAUACGAGUAGUUAAGUUGUAUCAAAAGCCCUGAGUUUGAUAUUUCUGAUAAAGAAAAUAAUUUUUUUAUCCUAAUGCAAUUGCACAGCUUAUAUCUAUCCUAUAAUGGAAAAAAUGGAAACAUACUAAUGAAACAGAAGUUAUUCUGCAGGCUAGCCCAACAGAUCCUGAAAAUUUCCCAUUUGUGGUGAUCGGCAACAAGACUGACGUGGAUGGUGGAAAUAGCAGAGUGGUAAACACCUGCCCCUCCUCUUUCUAUAUAUAUAUAUAUAUUGAGGUUGAGAGGCACCGUGCCAAAGGCAUUAGGACAUAUUAUAUGUGGUGGAAUGUUGUGGACCUAUGAUGAUAUCUACUACGGAGUUGGUAGGACAACAUACAACCCAAUAUAAAUCUACAUUUACACCAAUUCUAUUAAUUUCUCUGUUUGUUCUUUUCUCUACCAUGGAAAAUCAAACUUCAACAGGCUGUCUUACCUAUAAGUAUGUUAAAAGUUCUGUUCCCACUAAGAGAAGGCAAAAUUUAAAACGGUCAUUGUGGAUAACAAAACAAAAUUAUUUGGCCGCUUCAGUUGAACAUAAGGGAGGGAAGCUCAAUUGCCCCAAUUUCCUUGUUGACGGCUACUACUGGUGAUCACCCCCCUCCCCACCUUUUCCCUCUGUCAGCACCACCCCCCUCUCCUAACCCUGCCCAUUGGGCAUCUCUUCCAGCUCCCUUUCCCAGUCAGUGCCUCCCCUCCCUUCCCCAGUCCGGUGGUGCCCCUUCUGCAGCUGCCCGUUUUUUUAAUUUUUGUGCACUUUAACCACCAAAUUUAAAAAGUAGGGGUAUUUGCACUUUAACCACCAAAGUAAAGUUCUUUUGUAAUCAAAAUGGCAUUUAUAAACAAUAGCUCGUUAGUUACAUUCAUUAAACUGAUACAAACUUAAGCAUCGCGGAUGCAGUGUCCAUUUGCGUAUCAUUCCCUAUUUACCCAGUGCUUGUAUCAUGAUAAAUACUUCCAGCCUUUCUGUUGGGGCAGACUGAGGUGAUGUGCUGCACUGUUUUCAAUAUGUAAGCUGUGAAACUUUGUUUGAGAUUGACAAACAUUGUUUUACCUGCUUUGCCACAGGUAUCUGAGAAAAAGGCUCGGGCUUGGUGUGCCUCAAAAGGAAAUAUUCCUUACUUUGAGACUUCUGCUAAGGAAGGCACCAAUGUUGAAGAAGCUUUUCAGGUUAUUGCAAAGAAUGCCUUGAAAACUGGAGAAGAGGAAGAAAUGUGAGUACAAAAUCCCAUAUUAUCUCAUCAAGUUGCAUUUAUAUGUCAGCACCAUCUUCGUUAUACUUCUUCAGUUUCUCACAAUGCUGUCAUAAUGUUUUAUAGUUUUAUUAUAUAGCUGUGCAUUGUAUUAUGCUAAAAGUAGAAUUGAUAGUUGAAAUUAGUAGAAGAAUAAAUUCUUGGAAAAAAAUGCUGCCAUAUAUUUGCACCGAUCUCAUAAUUCUUGAACGACAUAUAUUCUUCUUGCUAAUAUUCUUGAUGAUGGUGAAGAUACCUUCCGGACACAAUUGAUGUUGGUAGCAGCGCCCAACAACGGUCAACUGGAUGUGAAUGUUGAUUGAGUAAUAUGAUUCAGAAGUUCCCAGGAUGCACCAAGAACUCCAUCAUUCUUAUGUUUUUCGUGUUGCACUAAGAUCAUGCGUGUAUACUAGUGUUUGUACUGUGGAGCGAAUUCGUUUUGUUAUUUUCUGAGCUUGGUUGCUUGGGCUACCUUCAAUGUGUACUGUACCGCUCUGAUUUGGUGGAGCUGGAUAGAAUUUUUCAGUGAAUUGAUUGCAGUUUCUGUGUAAACUCUUUCAUCCUUGACAUUUUUUUCAAGUUCUAUCCUCUGCUCUCCAUGUCGACUACUUGAUUUUUUCUACAGGAAAACCGAAAGGGCGUCGAUGGUGACGGUUGAACCAUAAAAACCGAAUUGAUCUGAUGAAUACAACUGUAAUUCAAUAUCGGUUGACCAUGGAUAUUGAUUCCCUAAUUAUCUAUUUUUCUUUCUAUCACUUGUCAAAAUCACUGUAUUGUAUAUAUUUGUAUUUUGUGACCAUCUGCUAAAUUAAACAUCUAGUUGAAGUUGGUAUGCGAUGAAAAUUGUAGAAAAAGAAGAAUUUACCUUUUGGAAAAGGUCCAACGUAUUAGAGAGCACCCCAUCCCCAGUUGAGAUUCCUCUGCUAACAACCUCUUACUUUUGCAUUAAGUUGAUUAUAGAGCAAAAUAAUGCUACAUAAAUGAGGUGCAAUGUUUUAAAACUAGCUAGAUUGCAACUAUAAAAACGAACAUACCCGAAGGCUUUUCAUUGAAAUACAUAAUUGAUCUCAUACACGGCUUACAUUUAUUAGAAAAGCAACAACUUAUGCACUUCAUACAUUAGAAAUAGUGAUAGGUGACAUGAGACCACAGACGACAACAUUAUAAACUUCAUACUAAUUCACUUUUCACUUUUCUGCCUUGGCUCCAAUCGUGUAGAUCGAAUCCUUGGAAUUGACAUCAUCAGUGUAUGCCGAGACAUUAGGCCUAGGCUCAAAAUCUUUAGUGUAAGAUUUCUCAUCCUUUGAAUUGACAUCAUCAGUGUAUGCCGAGACAUUAGGCCUAGGCUCAAAAUCUUUCGUAUAAGAUUUCUCAUCUGUGAGCUUAACGUCAUCGGUGUAUGCUGAGACAUUAGGUCUUGGCUCAAAAUCUUUCGUAUAAGAUUUCUCAUCUGUGACCUUAACGUCAUCGGUGUAUGCUGAGACAUUAGGUCUUGGCUCAAAAUCUUUCGUAUAUGAUUUCUCAUCUGUACGCUUAACAUCAUUAGUGUACGCUGAGACAUUAGGUCUUGGCUCAAAAUCUUUUGAAUAAGAUUUCUCAUGUGUGAGCUUAACGUUAACACUCGGUCUAUCCUCAAACUCUCUCACAAAAGCUUUAUGCUCUUUAAACUUGAGAUCAUCACUAUGAGCCAUGGUGCUAGCCCUUUGCUUAAUGUCUUUUGCAAAAGACUCCUCAUAUUUAGGUUUGACAUCGAAGAUUGAUGACUUACCCAAUGCAGUAUGACACCCAUUUCUCUCAUCCUUCACAACACCUUGCCAAUAUUCCCCUCCAUCUUUUCUUGCAUUGAUACCGUAAGCUAUCUGCAUUUCUCAGAAUUAAAAUCCCUAGUUAGAAAAUGAGCCAAGUAGAAUCUCAACUCCAAAUAAAUUGAUCAAAAUAAUGUUAUAUAACACAUAUCAACAAAAACAACUAGCUAGCUCAUAUAAAUUCGCACGUAGAUGAAACUUUCAUGCAUGUGCUAGAGAAACGUUAGUCAUAUAUAUAUGUUAAUGUGUAUUUACGAAAUUUAGUUCUCAUUUUUCACAAUAACUUAAUUUGAUUUUUGUCAGAAAUAGAAAAAAUGUACAUACCAGUGCGAGAGAGAGGAUGCUAGCUAUAACGUAGCUCAUUGCAAUAAUUUGAAUCUAAUCUGAAUCUCACUUUAUGAGUUGAGAAUAGAGAAAAUCUGCUUGCUAUUUAUAGGAAGAAAGUACGAAGACUAUAUAAUAACAAGUUGUGAGAGAAAGAAAGCAAGAAGACUCAAUCAUUGCAUAUGAUAAUAUAAUUAAACUUUGAUACAGAGAAACUAGAUAAAGCAAUUAUUAGAUAUUGGGAGCUGGAGGUCCAUCUUUGUCAUCUAAAUUAUAUAUGCAAAAUAAUAUAGGGUCGGGUUUCUGAUUAUGACAUUGUUUUUCCUUUAAUAUUGUUGUUAUGUCUUGAAUUUUCCGCUUCACACUUCGGGGGUCUCGCUGUAAUCUGGGUGUUUUAUCUCAAUACUAUAUACAAAACCGAUCACCUACCCACCGUGGGCAAACAUAACGUGCCCACCACUGAUGUGGCAAUGUUAAUUAGGAAGGAGAAUUAAUAAAUCUUACUCUAAUUAAAAUUAUCUUACUCUAAUUACAAUUGCCACAUCAGUGAUGGGCACGUUAUGUUUGCCCACGGUGGGUAGGUGAUCGUCUCUGAUAUAUAUUAUUAUUAUUAUUAUUAUUAUUAUUAUUAUUAUUAUUAUUAUUAUUAUUAUUAUUAUUAUUAUUAUUAUUAUUAUUAUUAUUAUUAUUAUUAUUAUUAUUAUUUUCUCCGUCCCAUAAAUUUUGACACGUAUUCAUUUUUGGAUCGUCCCACGAAUCUUGACACAUUUUCUAAAUAAGGUAAUAAUUAAUCCAAAAAUAUUACAUUCUCUCUCCUACUUUUAUCACUUUAUUACAUUCAUUCUCCUAGCUACUUUUUCACUUUUAUACUUUAUUUUCUACGCACUUAAAACAUUAAUCUACAAUUCUUUAAUUUUCGUGUCGUAACCAAACGUAUCAAGAUUCAUGGAACGAAGGGAGUACUAUGUCAAGAUCCGUGUCCACCAAUCAACUUCUCAUUUGGUGGUCGGCACGGAAACUAAAAAAACUGAAAAAUGUGGUGUAAAAGUGGUGUAACAGACUAAAAGGAUAGUGUUAUUUUAUGUGGUUACUUUUACUAAUUUUUCACUAGCUAUUUAACAUUAUUUUCAUGCCUUGACUUAAAGUUUUUUUUUAUAUAUACGCUAUCUCUUUCUUCUUCUUUUUUACUCUUUAAUUAAAUAAACUAAAAACUUAAACAUAAUUAAAAUGAAAACAAGAAAAUAAUUUUUUCAGAAAAUAAAUAAAUUGAAAAUUCGAAAAUAAAUAAAUAAAUAAACAGGAAAUUCGAAAAUAAAUAAAUAAAUAAACUAUAAAUUCAGAAAAUAAAUAAAUAAAUAAACUGGAAAUAAAUUUUUCAGAAAAUAAAUAAACUAAAAAUUAAAAAAUAUAUAAAUAAAUAAACUAAAAAUUCAAAAAUAAAUAAAUAAAUAAACUGAAAAUUCAGAAAAUAAAUAAAUAAAUAAAAUGGAUGUUGGGUCCCCUGAGGGUUGAAAUGACAUGUGUAUGGGGGGGAGGGGAAUACACCUGUAAGCUAUUUUCGAAACAAGGUUACUUAAAACCGACACCUUUGUUCUGAAAGAUAGUUUGAUUGAUUUGAAAAUGCAAGCUUCAGAUGACAAGGGGUGGCGACUGAUACUGAAACCAAGGUUCAGUGGGUGACUUCAGUUAAUUGAUUUGGUCAAUUAACUUCAAUCCAAGUAAGGCUUCAAUCGUAAGUAAAACAGAGUAGAAUUACUUGUUUAACCGACUAUCAAAAGAUUGAUCAGUUAAACUUAUAAUUCUAGCAACGGAAUAUUAAACUUAGUGAAAUACUCCCUCCGUCCACCAAUUAAAGGCCUAGGGGAAAAAACACGGGUUUUAAGAAAAAGUGUAUUUUUAUUAGUUGAGUGGAGAAAGGGUCCCACUUUUUAAGAAAAAAUGUAUUUUUAUUAGUUGAGUGGAGAAAUGGUCCCACUUUUUUGUAAAGAAUCUUUGACUUUUUUGAUUAAAUAAUGAAUAAAAACUUACCAAAAAUAGGUAGGCCUUGUUUUUGUGGACGUCCCAAAAAGGCAAGUAGGCCUUGAACUGGUGGACGGAGGGAGUAGCAUUGAAAGAUUUUCUUCACAGAGAAUCCCUUAGUUACUCUUUUCAGUUAAUCAGUAUUAGAGAAACNAACCCUAAUGUAGCAAAACCUUUUAGUCAUUAGAAAUUUUAACUGUACAGAUAAAAAUAUGAAAAUAAUAGUAUUUCUGACUAAAAUACUCUUUUAAUGUGUAACAGUGUAAAAUACACUAUUACACACUUGUUAGAAGCAAAAAAGUGCGUAACAGUGUAAAAUACACUAUUACACGAUUUUCGCGAUUAUUAUACUACGAUUUUUGAAAAAGUGUGUAAUAAUGUAUUUACACGGUUACACACUUUUUCACAAUUACACAAAAAAGUGUGUAACAAUAUUAAGAGUAUAAUUAUACAUUUACACUAAAAAAGACUAGUUUUUUCAUACUUUUAUUUGGGUGAACAUUUUUUCCUUUUCUUAUACAAAAAGAUAUAAUUGGCCCAUUAACUCUAUCAUUUGAAAAUAUUAAGCCCUUUUAUGGAGUAAAAUUUAUACCUUUCCUGGGCGACAGCCUUAUCUGCGGUCAAGAAAGUAGAUUUCCAGCCACGGCCUAUAGGGGAGGAAGGGUCGUCAUCCUCCCCCAAAACUCGUGUGUAAAUCACGCCGUGCUUCUCCAACUUGUGCACGAAGUCUGAGUGCUUCUCCUUCAUUCUUUCGUAUAUGAUGUGACUCGGGACUAUCGGCGUUUCUCCGCCCGACUCGGGCUCUACUUCGCAGAAGAAGAACAAUUUUGUCGGGUACUUUUGCACCUUGUGAUCCAGAUUAACAAAAUCAAUCAACUAAUCCCAUCCCAUUCAAAUAAUCACUUCUUUUACACAGAUUAAAAAAAUUCUGAUGUUGUUUCUCGAGCGAGGAUGGCGAAAGAAACAUGUUUUCUGAAUACUCUUUGAUAUAGAAAAGAAGUAAACAUAUAUAAUAUGCAAAGUUCGUGAUAUUUAAAAAUUAAAAUUAAAAUUAAGGUCAUGAAUAAAAAAAAAAUCAAUAAUUGGGAUCAUAAACAAGUAUUACACACGAGCAAGAAAAGAGAAGAAUUGAUACCUGAGCCAUUUCAUGGUGAAAAGGGAUCUUCUGAUCAGGCGGGGAUUCGUUAGCAGUGAAAAUACGGCCGACGACGUUAGUUCUGGGGGCGGCGCCGCCGACGUACGGCAGCUCCUCGUACCCGAACGCCUCCACGACGUCGUUGAAGUCUGAAGCGGUAGCUAAGGAAUCAAAACCACGAAACAGAAUAGCGCCGUGUUUGUGCAGAAGCGAGUCCAGCCAUGGCCUCUGCUCCUUCACGCCCGCCGUCAAAGAGGACGCACCGCCCGCCGCUGCCGGAGAUAACACGGCGGGGAAAGUAACUCCGCCAUGGCUUUUUUGAUGUGGGAUCUUGGUUUCAGCGAAGAUGCUAGAGUUCGUAGGCAUUUUGUGAUUUUGUUCUUUGAAUUUUGGAUGAUUAGUUUGGCAAUUAUUGAUUAUAUAUAUAUAUAUAUAUAUAUAUAUAUAUAUAGUAAGGAAGANNNNNNNNNNNNNNNNNNNNNNNNNNNNNNNNNNNNNNNNNNNNNNNNNNNNNNNNNNNNNNNNNNNNNNNNNNNNNNNNNNNNNNNNNNNNNNNNNNNNNNNNNNNNNNNNNNNNNNNNNNNNNNNNNNNNNNNNNNNNNNNNNNNNNNNNNNNNNNNNNNNNNNNNNNNNNNNNNNNNNNNNNNNNNNNNNNNNNNNNNNNNNNNNNNNNNNNNNNNNNNNNNNNNNNNNNNNNNNNNNNNNNNNNNNNNNNNNNNNNNNNNNNNNNNNNNNNNNNNNNNNNNNNNNNNNNNNNNNNNNNNNNNNNNNNNNNNNNNNNNNNNNNNNNNNNNNNNNNNNNNNNNNNNNNNNNNNNNNNNNNNNNNNNNNNNNNNNNNNNNNNNNNNNNNNNNNNNNNNNNNNNNNNNNNNNNNNNNNNNNNNNNNNNNNNNNNNNNNNNNNNNNNNNNNNNNNNNNNNNNNNNNNNNNNNNNNNNNNNNNNNNNNNNNNNNNNNNNNNNNNNNNNNNNNNNNNNNNNNNNNNNNNNNNNNNNNNNNNNNNNNNNNNNNNNNNNNNNNNNNNNNNNNNNNNNNNNNNNNNNNNNNNNNNNNNNNNNNNNNNNNNNNNNNNNNNNNNNNNNNNNNNNNNNNNNNNNNNNNNNNNNNNNNNNNNNNNNNNNNNNNNNNNNNNNNNNNNNNNNNNNNNNNNNNNNNNNNNNNNNNNNNNNNNNNNNNNNNNNNNNNNNNNNNNNNNNNNNNNNNNNNNNNNNNNNNNNNNNNNNNNNNNNNNNNNNNNNNNNNNNNNNNNNNNNNNNNNNNNNNNNNNNNNNNNNNNNNNNNNNNNNNNNNNNNNNNNNNNNNNNNNNNNNNNNNNNNNNNNNNNNNNNNNNNNNNNNNNNNNNNNNNNNNNNNNNNNNNNNNNNNNNNNNNNNNNNNNNNNNNNNNNNNNNNNNNNNNNNNNNNNNNNNNNNNNNNNNNNNNNNNNNNNNNNNNNNNNNNNNNNNNNNNNNNNNNNNNNNNNNNNNNNNNNNNNNNNNNNNNNNNNNNNNNNNNNNNNNNNNNNNNNNNNNNNNNNNNCCGCUACGUUUGCUUCAAGCAUUUGUGCAAUCGUAAGGAAACUCAGUGGGAUCGAACAACUAACGUCGUUCAUGCCGAUGACCAAGUGUGGCAAGAACUCUUCAAGGUUAGAAAACGCAUAAUACUCUUUCUAUUAAACCUUGUUGCAAAUAUCAAUAAAUCAAUCAAAUAACAUUAUUCCAUUAUUUGCUAUCAUCAUAGGAAAAUGCAUUCUUCCGAGCCUAUUAUCAUAACGGUGAUCCGGAGUACCUACAGAUGUGCAACUUGUUUGGCCUCUACGACGUAAAAAAAGAGUUGUCUCAUACGGUAAUCGUUAUUGAAGACUCGUCAACUGUGAAGAAGCCAUCCCACCAUACUAUCAACGGCGAAUACUGGAGUGAAGAUGAGGUAACAUCUCCUAUCUUAAAACCAAAACCAGUGGCCAAACCAGUGGCCGCUAGGAACAUCUUCCCAGACGAUGCUUGUUCAAGCGCGACAGCUUCUUUCCACAAUAAGCUCCCAUGGAAUGCAUUCAAAAAUAAGCUCCGUCGGCCAACGAAAACGAAAGAUGACCAGAAUCGCGAUGGCGGUUAUGGUGGAAGUUCGUGCGCGUCGUCCUCUCCUUUCAAAUAGAGUUAUUUUGCCGCUAUCUCUUCCAUUGUUUUGCCGUCCUGCUCUUAUAUUUCACCUUCAUGUUUGAUUAUUAUGUUUUGACCUUAUUUUUGGCGUCUCCAUGAGCUAAUAGGUUUUUAUGUUUUCUAUUGAAGUACCCUACUGUUUUCCCUCUAAUAAUUGGUUGGACUCAUGUUUUUUUACAUGUUAUGUGCACUCAAUAAUUGGUCGAACUAUAAAUUAGAUACAAAUGAAAAUCAACCAAUGAAAUAAUGACAUAUAUGGAUAAUAAAUUUUCUGCAAUCUACUGAGCAUGCAAAUAAAAUUUCUGCAAAAUAAACACAUUAUCAUUCAAAACUCCAUAAAACGAAUUACAAAAUAGCAUUUGAAUCUCCAUGAAACAAAGUAUGAAAUAACUUUCAAAUCUCCAUGAAACAAGGUACAAAAUAACAUGAUCGGUCUCCAUGAAACAAAGUACCAACAACGGCAUAAGCUUAAAGGGCCAACUAGUACCCAACAUAAACCUAAACAAUCUUGCAACAAGUUCCAAAAUAUUCUUUGAACAUGAUAUGAGAAACUGUCAGAUUUCAAAAUGCAAAAGAAGAGCACCAAAACAUUCCUUGCACGAAGGUGACUUACUUAUGCUUCAAAGCAAGCAAGUAGUGCACGUAGUCUUCCUUCGCGUCAUCCGGGAGGCUUGAGAACACAUCCAGACGCUCGACCUCCUUUGCAAGCAAAUCUGUCAACUCAAACUUUUCCAUCUUUGACAGCCCCGGAAUAGCAGACAAUUGAGCGAAGACUUCUUUUCUUGCCUUUGAUAUAUCGUAGUCGUAACCCAUUUUACUUGAUAUUGUAUCAAGUCUAGUUUCGGUCCCCCGGUUAAUUUCAUGUAGGGCCUCGAAGAAUCUGUCGUCAAAGGUGGCACUGCGGCGCCGCUUCUUGCCGCAACCCCGCACUUCCUUCUCAGCCGUAACACUCUCUUCAUGAACUUGGGUGUGGCUUACAUUGUCACCCGCUUCGCCAUUCUCGAAGAGAUCUUCAAGUGAGACGCGGUAAUCAUCAUCGGCGUUCGGUUGGCUAGUAUCCAAUUUUCGAUACAUCUCAUGGGACGCCUCCAUGAGAUCCUCCGCCUCAUCGCCCGUAGCUCUAUCUUUGCCGUAAUAUUAUCUUCCAAUCCUCAAGUAGAGGUCCAACUUUUCUUGCGAUAGUUGCUCACGCUAUUAUCGACUACAUUACAUUUAAAGCUUAACAAAACAUGUAAAACCAGGCUGCAAUAAGCAAUGUAAAUGGACUUACCCUCACAAAGUUCUCCCAUUGUUCAUCAUCGCAAUCAAUCAUGUGCUUUCCAUCCACAUUGAAACCAACUCCACUGGUCUUGAGGAUGUUCCACAAUGAAUAGUAAGUCUUUUUCCACGUUGUUACCUUCGAGUUUAUGUGAGGCAUCCCUUUCAAAUCGGUGGUCGGAAAGUCCUUCCUCAUAGCCUCCUCUAACUUGCUCAAAUAACCGGCUCGAAAUCCGUUGUCGGAUUUCCAUCCUUGCGCAACGAGCUCCUUCAAUGCAGCGAUUAGCACUUCUUCUUCGCGUGUAGACCAACUGCGGCGCUUCUGGGUCGUCUUGUUAACACGGCCAGAAAGCGUUGUUCCAUUGCUACCUGAACAACCAUAAAAAGAAAAACACCAGCAAUGUGUUUCAUGUGUUGCUGUAUACUUAUUCCAGACCACCAGCUUUGUAUUUCAUAUUAUUUAACAUCCGUUUAUGGCAUUUCAUAUUAUUAAAAAUCCCGACCAACACGUUUUAUACCAGUCCAAAAUACGAUCAUAUACUCUAGCAAAAUAAUUAUGUUUUGCGGUCGGCGCUAGCAAGUAGCAAGUAUCUAAAUAUCACAGCCACUAAAACGGAUAGACGAAUAUUAGCAAAACCAAGAGCAGAACAUGAUAUAAACACAGAUCGCAUAAAGACUAAAAAAUAUAUUUUCAUCAAGACGAAGACUCAUAUACGACGUGAAUAUUGUUAAAAAACCAUUGGAUAUAGUUCUAAGGAGUCGCGACAUGGGAGAAGAAUGACCUACCUUGAGUUGCAGAACUCAUUAUCGGCAAGUUCAGAUUGCUUUCUUGCCCUUUCUAUGGAGAGAGACCUUUCACCUUCUGCGCAGAAGAGUUCUUGGCGGGUGAAGAAUGUUUUCGGAGAAUAGGGAUUAGUGGGUGUAAUGGUGUAAAGCAGAGGACAAGGUUGGAAUUUCGAAAAUUAGAAGGGGACAUUUUUGUCCAUUAUUAACUUUAUCUGACCUAGUACUAUGAAUACCAAACAGAAUUCAUGAUUAGUUAAAUGUAAAAGCAAACAUCCAAUUAAUAUUAAUAACACAGUGUAAUCCACACUAAUUAUCUAGUUUAAUAUUAUACUAGCUAAUCCAUUACAUAAAACCAAACGAGCCCUAAACAUUUGAUCUCAAUACGUAAAUAAAACAUAAAUCAGCAAGCUCCGACUUUAUUUUUGUUGGCCUUGUUUGUUGUGGUGUUUAACGCUGUAUUAGCAUAUUAAUAUGCUGAGAAACGAUCAUUUGGUGCCUUAUUAACACAGACGGCCCAGCAUUAUGCAAGGGCCCGGGCCUCUUUAAAUAGAUAAAUCUCGUUUAGGAAUAUGCCACCCCCUUUGAUACGCAAACCAUCAUAAUUAUCUUGGAUUCAAAUCUCAUUUUUGCCCUUAAAUUCAAAUAUUAUCAGCCUUAUGUGUUGAUUAUUUCUACUCAUUAUUCUCUACAAAAAAACGUUGUUGUUCUCGCCGACCGACAAAGAAUUAUGCGGAAAUUUUGCUGUGCAAUACCAAGAAUAAUUUUGACUACGAAAUCGACAACACGGUAUGUGCGGUUAAUCGUUUUUGCCUAUCGAACCUGAUUUUGAUUUUUAUUUGAGAAUGUUAGAGCAGUAGAAACGAUUGAAUCUGUUAGGUCUUUUUUCGAAAAAAAGUGUAUGUCAUCUUUAUUAAAAUCUUAAGUUCUAAAGAGUUAUAAUCCACCUUAAUCAAGUGUUUGGUUUGCAUGAUGGAGCCCGUGAUUAAUAACUCGGCCUGCAUCUAAUCACCCAAAUGAGUGAUUGUUUAUCAUCCCAAAGUUGGAUGGAUAUUAUUUAAUCACCCCCUCCAAUCCUAUCACUCUUAUCAAUCUUAUCUAUCCUAUCCAACAAACCAAACGCCUCCAAGUAGUAUAUUUUUAUCAUGUCAUCUUAUAUCUAUGACAUUUUAGAUACUACUCGUAUAUAUGAUUAGUGAAACCAAAGCUUUUACAAGCAAAAAGAACAAAGCUACAUAUAUUAAUGACUUAUAUGUUUAAUAAAAAUUUCUGGCAAAUAUUAACUUGUGUGUACAUGCAAUGUACGAUGCAUUCAUCCUACUUAAAUUAAUUAACUAUACAAAUUAAUUAUUAUUUUUUAUAUUUACAGCAAGAGUCUCCAGUAUUUGGAUGUCCCCAAAUUAACGACCACUAAAAAUAAGGUUAUAUAUAGUUCACUAGAAAGCAACAACGUGAUAGAAUCUAGAGUAAUCGAUGUAUCAUAUUCAUAUAUAUGUGUUGAUGAAGAUUUAUCUAUCAAAAUAAGAAACUAAGGUUUUAUAUGAAAUGAUUAACCUAGGCAACACGUAUGAUGCCCAUAUAUUCAUUUAUAUAAGUGCAGCAUGAGUCACGUUAAGAUUGUAAUUGCCACUGUGUGAUGAUAUGGUGUUCCUCUAUAUAUAGAAAUCGAUCACCUACCCACCGUGGGCAAACAUAAUGUGCCAACCACUGAUGUGGCAAUUUUAAUUUGGAAAGAGUAUUAACGACCACCUCAUGGAAAAAUAUAUUCUAGCUAGCUUUUGAAACGAGCUUGUUCUGCUAGAGUUUUUCACUUUCUAGUAUAUUUUUUCUUUCUUUUGAAUUUUGAGAGUUUUUUUUUUUUUGGUUGUUGUUGUUGGUUGGAGAUUUAAGGAUUUGGAUUAGUAGGUCACCUUAUAAAGAAAAAGAAUAUCAUUAAGCUACAAUUUGGAUUAAUUGUCAACUCCAUCUUUAUCAUGAAUCAUAUGGGUUCUUUUCUUUCCUUUAACAUAAUUAAUUAACGAUAGCUUAAAGUUUUGGAUUAAUUGACAACUGCAUCUUUAUCAUGAAUCAUAUGAAUUAUUUUCCCUCCUUAAACAUAAUAAUUCACGAUAUGUGAUGACAUUAAUAUAAUUCACACCUCACUCCCCUGCCGGCACCACUAAUAUUCACAAAAACAUCCAGACAAGUCUCUAUUUGUUCUUCCGCAUAUAUUCUAAAAUAUGCAUGAAUAAUUAAAUUAAUAAUUUCAAAAAGUCAUACUAGGUUUUUUAUGUACUUAGACAUAGUUAAUCUUUUAAACAACAUAUGAAUUAUGUAUUAAUUUAGGCUAAGACUAAAUAUGAUAUUUAGCCAAAUUAUAAAUUCUGGAAUCAACCAAUUAUAAGGUCAUAUAUAAAUAUUAUUAUAUUUAACUAACUUCAUUUAAGACUACCUAUAAUUAUACUCCCUCCGUCCCAGCUUUUUGUAUCCACUUUUAGUAGGGAUACAAAAAGCUGGGACAGAGGGAGUAUAUUUUAGAGAAUAUAUAUAUAUAUAUAUAUAUAUAUAUAUAUAUAGGGUAGGGUUAAUAUAAAAACCCCCUCUUAAGAUGAAAACUAGGAACCAAUUUAAAACCAUUGAUUUAAAUAAAAUAGAGGGCUGAGAUUAAACUACAGAUGCACAAUUUCGAUUGCAUAGAUGCACAGUUUCAAUUGCAUGGAUGCACAAUUUCGAUUUGCUUGAGUAUUUUGCAUUGUUGGUUUCAAUUGCAUAAAUUGCAUAUUUUUAAUUGCACAGUAAAAUAUAAUAGAUGCACAGUUUCUUUUGUUGACUAAAUCCUAACCAUUAGAUCUAAUAUUUAAAAGGUUAAGAUUAGCUUCCUAGUUCUCAUUUUAACAAAGGUUUUAUUAGAACAUCUUCCUAUAUAUAUAUAUACAUAGAAAUAAAUAAUAAAUAAGACAUACAUAUAUACAAUAACGAAUUAAAAAUAUUUAUAAAAUUAUUNGUAUAAUUUAGUAUUUUUUUACGUAAAAAAAUAAAAUAAUAUAAUAUAUAUAUAUAUAGGGUAGGGUUAAUAUAAAAACCUACUACUUAAGAUGAAAACUAGGAACCAAUUUAAAACCAUUGAUUUAAAUAAAAUAGAGGGCUGUGAUUAAACUACAGAUGCACAAUUUCGAUUGCAUAGAUGCACAGUUUCAAUUGCAUAGAUGCACAAUUUCGAUUUGCUUGAGUAUUUUGCAUUGUUGGUUUCAAUUGCAUAAAUUGCAUAUUUUUAAUUGCACAGUAAAAUAUAAUAGAUGCACAGUUUCUUUUGUUGACUAAAUCCUAACCAUUGGAUCUAAUAUUUAAAAGGUCAAGAUUAAGUUCCUAGUUCUCAUUUUAACAGAGGUUUUUAUUAGAACCUCUUCCUAUAUAUAUAUAUAUAUAUAUAUAUAUAUAUUAAUUUAAUAGUAGUGUUAAUUGUUUUUAUAAAUUUAUUUAUCUUUAAAUUCAUAAUAAAAAGUAAUAUUAAUACUCCCCUAAUAAAAUUCAAAUAAUUGUAAUGCCACAUAAAUUAACCACACAAAAGUUUUCCCAAUUAAUAAAGAUGAAAAAAAUAGCUUGGUUGAAACUUAUAAAAUGAGAGAGAGAGAGAGAGUAAUAUAUAUCAAAUUAAAGUUUGUGUCAUGAUCUUUAAUUGGAUAUACAAAGGGAUUCACCAUAAUAAAAAAUUGUAUUAUGAAAAGGUAAAACAAAUGUUAAAAAAUAAAAAUAAAAAUAAAAUAAAAAAGAAUUAAAAAUAAAUUUAUUCAAAAAAAGAUGAGAGUUGAGAGAUUUUUUUUAAUUUAAAAAUAAAUAAAUUAAAAGUUUUACAUUUUAAAUCAAAUAUUUACAUAAAAAUAUAUCAAAUUAAAGCUUUUAUCGUGAUCUUUUAAUGUGAUAUGCAUAUUAAAUAUUUUAUAAUUAGUCGAAUUUCACUAUUUUAGAAAGAAAUAAAGUAAAAAAAAAGAUAAAUAAAAAGAAAAUAAAAAAGGAAAUAUGUAAUUUAUAAAUAAACCUUUAAUUUUAUUAUAACUACAAAAUUAUUACUUAAUUUUGAAAUCAAUUUAAAAUUGAUGACAAAUUGAAAUCUUAAAUUUGUAAUAAUAGAUAUACAGUGAUUUUGACAAAGCGUAAAAAUUAAAAUAGAUAAUUAGAGGAAAAAUUCUAAUCAACGUCCCACGGCCACGUCCAAUAUAAUAAUAUUUUAUUAUUAAAAAUCAAAUUAAAAAUUCGAGUAUCAACAUCCAUUCCUCGGUACAGCAUGGUGAAUUACACAGGUCGCAUUCAUUAUAUCAGAUCAAUUCACCACAGUUAAAUUUGCAUACGGCUUUCAUCAAAUUAAUUAACUUCCGAUUGAUUUUUCUUUCUAUCACACUGAGUGGUGGGGAUGGGGACACUAUUUGAAAAUGGGGCGUUAACCAUAAAAAAAUCAAUCAUUAAAAAUGAUAAAUCGGUCAUUAGCUAGAAAAUCUAACGAUUGAAUUAACGAUCAAUUUGAAGCAAAUGGAUCUCAUAGCUCUCAUAGUACUCUCUCUUUCUUCUCUCACUUUCAAUUUGAUAGCCUUGAGGUUUAAGGAAAGAGAAGAAUCCAUGUGAUUCAUGAUAAAGAUGAAGUUGUCAAUUAAUUCAAAACUUUAAGCUAUCGUUAAUUAAUUAUGUUAAAAGGAAAGAAAAGAACCCAUAUGAUUCAUGAUAAAGAUGGAGUUGAUAGACAAUUAAUCCAAACUUUGUAGCUAAUUAAUGAUAUUCUUUUACUUCAUAAGGUGACCUACUAAUCCAAAUUCUUAAAUCUCCAACCAACCAACCUAAAAAACUCAAAAUUCAGAAGAAAAAAAAAACUCUAGCAGAAUGAGCUCGUUUCAAAAGCUAGCUACAAUAUAUACUUUUCCAUUGCUUGUCACGUUAUUUUCCCAAUAAUGAGAUAAAAAUUCUUUCGGCUAUCUAUCUUCCUACAACAAAAAUCGAGUUAUUAUUUAAACAAAUAAUUAAAAAUUGUAUCCAAUAUCAUAAUUCGCUCAUCAAAUAUGUGAAUAUAUAUUUUGGCAAUUAAUCCCAAAGAUUAUUUGCUAUUGCAUGCUUGGUCUCUCUCCCUCUUUUUUUUUUUCCUUUUUUUUUUUCACUUGUUAGCUGUUAUCUGUAAAUUAACAGGAUCAAAUCAGAACUUAGAGAAAAAGUUCACAUAUAAUAUAUUAAUAUGCAGUGUAUUUUAGUAUUUUCGAUGAUACUUUAAUUACUUAUACAAAAUCUUAAUUAUUGUUUUGGGUAUAUAUGGAGGAACACGAUAUCAUCACACAGUGGCAAUUACAAUCUUAACGUGACUCAUUCUGCACUUAUAUAAAUGAAUAUAUGGGCCCUUUGAUUGCGUCCUGCUUUCUUGGGUUUUUUAAGGUUUUUUGUUUUGCAAUAAAAUCGUAUUUUAAUAAAUGAAUAUAUGGGCAUCAUACGUGUUGCCUUGGUUAAUCAUUUCAUAUUAUAAAACCUUAGUUUUUUGUUUUGAUAGAUAAAUCUUCAUCAACAUGUAUAUGAUACAUCCAUUACUCGAGAUUCUAUCACGUUGUUGCUAUCUAGUGAACUAUAACCUCAUUUUUAGUGGUCGUUUGGGGACAUCCAAAUACUGGAGACUCUCUCUGUAAAUAUUGCACGUACUCACAAGUUAAUAUUUGCCAUAAAUUUUUGUUAAACAUAUGACUAUGAGUCAAUUAAGAUGGGUGACCAACUGGAAAGUUCGUCUAACGUAUACAAUUAAGUUAAAAAUAUAGUAUAAAUACAGAAAUACUUGUGAGCUAGGUAUAAAUAAAUAAAAUACCGCCGGCAACCACCGGCGGUGACGUCUGACAAUAGCGCCACCGCCGUCCGAUCAACAUUACCAGCAGCGAUGCUCCCGCUACUAAUCACCAACGGCGGAGGCGCCGGUAAAACUCCGGUAAAAGAUCACCGCUCACCGACGAUCUUUAGCGGCAGCGGCGCCGUUAAUUACCAGCGGCCGUCUUUUACCGCCGGUACUAUUGAAGUCAUCGACGAGCGAAAUACCGGUGGCGAGAGGCCGUUGGCAACCAUUUUUCCGGCGGUAUAUGUAUGAUUACCGGCGGCAUUGAGCGUGUUUUUUGUAGUGCUCGUAGUAUCUAAAAUGUCUUUGAUGCAUCAUAACAUGAUAAAAAUAUACUUAUAUUGCCGUCGGUAAUCAGCGUAUUUUUUGUAGUGCUCUUAGUAUCUAAAAUGUCUUUGAUGUAUCGUAACAUGAUAAAAAUAUACUUAAUAUUAGUUUAUAUUAUAACGCUCUAGAACAUAAGAUUUUAAUAAGUCGAUCGGAUCGUGAGUGUUAUUAAUACAUGCAUCAAAGCUUUCUCAGCUUCAUUCAUUCUCUCUCUUCUUGUGGUAAGUAAUUAAUUAAUAAUGUUUCUCUCUCUAGCCCACCUCUCUAAUUUCAUAAUAUUUUCUUCAAUAAUUGUUAACAAAACUUUCAUGUGUUGUUUCAGUAUGGCUAUUUUUGUGAUGCACGAAAAGAUCUAGGAGAGCUGUAGAAGGCUGUAAUGGAUGAAGAAACUAUGCCUGACACAAUAAAAAAUCCUAGCUUACGUUCUAUUUUUGCACAUGAUCCAACCAUCAACUAUAUUACAAUCCUUUAAGAGGUGAAGAGAGGUGUCUAAUAGAUCAAGAAAGGGACCUAUAUAUAAGCAUAUGGAAUAAAUAUAGUACAAAAUUCAAAAAUACUGAUAAAAUUCGAAAAUUCUUGUCGGCCACUAUUCACUAUUGCGUGUGAUUUUCUUGUUUCGGCCAUAUCUCCGUCGUACGAACUCCGAUUGGCGAUCCGUUUACGCUCAUGAACUCGUAUUGAGAUGAUCUACAACUUCUAUUUCAGACCAUUCUUCCAAAUUCGGCUUCAAUAUUUCUAAAAUUUCCAUCAAAGUUCGAGUAAGUAUCAUAUUUCUCAAGAUAUAUAAAACAAUAUAAACACGAAACAACUAUCCAACACUCAAUUUCUUAUAAAAUUGACAUCGUAUGAACAUUAAAAUGCAUAGAAACAUGAGUGUUAUCAAACCUUAAUUAUUUAAAGUUUAUAAAAUUCACAAUUUAUACUUUGUCUUUCAAUUAAUAUAGUCAAAUGUAGAAUAAAUAAUGCCAGAAUUGAACAAUUGUAUAUAAUUUAUAUUUUCCAAAUAAAAAUAAUCACAUUUUCUAAAUGUGUAAUAAAGGGGACAAUCAAGGUGGGACGGAUGGGAUAGAUCCAGUGCCCCACAAUUUUAUAUGUGUCACUAUGUCAUGCUUAUAUCUAUUAUUUUAAUAAUAUUUUUUAUAAAAAUAAAAUUUAUUACUAUAAUACUAUGAAUUAUAUUUAAUUCUUAAUUAUUUUAAAAAAUUAUUUUUUUUAAAAAGUAUAUACCAUGAUUUUGAAUUUAUCAACCUAUUAGCAGCUAAUAAAAGUGAAAAUAAAUGAUAAAAAAUAAAUAUAUACCCUAGAUUGAUGGUAUAAACCCUAGUUAAUAAUCCCAAAAUUAAACUAAAGCAUUCAAUAUCGAAAUUAAAGAAAAAAUAAAUAAAAUUAAAAGUUGGACACAAAAUGGGACAUCAAAUAUGGUACAGUGAAUCACAUUUGGGGUGGGAGGGAGUAAUACUCAUAGGCUUAUUCGUUGCCAUUCUGCUUGGGCUCGAAGGCUUGUGCAUCAUCAGUUGUGUACAAUUUAGCAAAUCAGAAACAAAUACUAGGAUUUCAUAAUUUGGGUUGAUAUUCUUUGAGAAACAAAUAGUUUUCGUCAAAGUAAAGCAUCUCAUGUUGGCUCAAAUGAAUCCACGCCUCAAUCCCAUGUCCCUCUUUGUCGCUCAUGAGCAACACAAAGUUGUUACCCGACGGCCCAUUAAUGUGAAUGCGCGUCCAAAGAGGCGUCCCCCAUCCGAAAUCACAGUCGUGAAAUUGAAACCCACUACAAUCAGUGAAAUUUAUAAUAUUGGUUUCAGGUUGGCUCACAUGUUGUAUCAAUCUUUCCAUAGUAUCUGUGUAGAUAUGGCGUCCAUCCACAUCAGGAGACAGAAUCUCGGCAUGACGAGUUAUGGCAUUUCGAACAGACUCUCCCAUUAGAAGAACAAGUUGAUCAACACCAACGUCAGCGCCGGCUUGUAUGCAUCUCGUCAUUGCUGGCACCGCGAAAUUCCCACAAGCGUGUCUGGACUGAGGUGGGAUUGAUCUCUCCCGCAUGUCCACCGCUUGCAAUAUGACGGACCUUCUGCUUCUGCCGUGGAUGGCGCCAUCCACCCGGAUUAGGGCUUUGGCUAUGACGGCACACACAACACGCACUCCAGAUAAGGCUUUUCCAUCGGUAUGUCUUAUUCUUAAUUUUAGGCUCCUUAAAGUCUCCUUGUUGAACAAAACCCUCUUCAAAGCAACGUUGUGAUCCGCGCCCACACGCUGUUCCCCAAAAUCAGGGGCCUGCUUGCUCACGGACGGAAGCAACGAGGAGAGAUGGAAAGUCGGGUUUACCUUCUUAUCAUGAUACGGAUUGGCGGCGUCCGACCAGGCGACCACGAACGUCCACAGCGACGACCCGUCCAAGACCUUGUGGGAACGCUGAUGGCGAUCGCGGCCCCGCCACACGAGAAACGUGUGAUCUGGAUCGAGAGGAGUGGAUUUUCAGGAGCUUCGUCGCGUCGGAAAUGUUGGUCUGGGAGGAGGUCGCGGAGCUCAUGGAUCUCCAUUUCUGGGCCGAGGUCCAUCAGCUCGACGUCUAGAGCCUCUGCUUCCACGAGCUCCGCUCCCUCAUCGCUGCAAUCAAUCCAACUAUCCUUCUUCAUAAAUCUUCCUGCAAGAGGAUAGAAUUCAACCAGGAUUCUGGCCAGUGAUGCUUCCAAGAUAUGGCUGCCGGCAUCUUCUGCUAUCGAUUCGUAAAACAGAACAACAGCGUUAUUAAUUGGGCGAACAAGCUCAUCUAUAAACGACAACUUGUAAUUCUUGAGGUUUUGAGGGGUUGGGGUGUGUGGUUUUACCAACUUGCUGCUGAUUUUAUUCAUCUUCAUUUUUUUUUUAAUUGAUAGUACUGGAGUGAAUACUUGAUACACACAAAACUAGUGCUCUAUAUAUAAGCAAAAGUUGAAUUAUUAAUUAAUAAAAGUUACAAUAAAUGAUACUUUCUCGGUCCCACUAAUUAAAAGUGACCAGUAUUUCAUUAAAAAGAUGUAGGCAAAUUUAACCCUUAAAAAGAUGUAGGCAUUGUCACUUCUAACUAAUUUACAUUUUUUUCUUAAUUCUCGUGUCGAAAAGUUUUGAGCUACUUAUAAUGGGACGGAGGGAGUAAAAAAAAUUAUACUCCUAACUAGGGCUGACAAAUCAUGCGUAUCAGAUCGUUAUCGAAUCGACACGACAUGAUAAGGACAAACAUGACCACGAUCCAGGCCAAUGACCUCUUGCUUGUAAGAGAGAGAGUUUAAAUAUGAUCUUGCAAUAGAAUUUUAGAUAUAGAUUCUGAGCAUUUGUCAAAUUUCUGUGAACAUGACUAAUAUCAAAAUAGUCAGCAAAAAAUUGAUAAAACCGUGCAUCCCCAGCUCCUCUAAAAUCUCACGAUCUACAAAUUAUAUCAUUUCUAGAUAAGAUUAACAUUACUGAUUUUGCUAGUGGUGAGAGCGAAGUAAAUUAGUGAAGGAAAUCGUAAUUGUAGAGCUGGUGGGUACAACUACCCUUCACCAUUAUUCAAUAAAUAUUAAAUAAUUUGUCCCUACACCAAAAGUGUUGGCACACAUCUUUUAAUAAAAUAAACAAUAUUAUAUAAAAUAAAGGAAUGACAAAGCAAAAUUAAUUUAUUAAGUAAUUAUUAAAUGAUAUGAAUAUGAUUUUUCCUAAAAAAAUAUUGAGUGCGAAUGAGAAUGAAAAUAUAAGAAUGUGUACAAAAAUGUAAAUGCCACUAGGGCUGGUAAACCGGUCGGUUCGAUUAAAAUCGAACCGGUUUACCGGUUAAUCGGAACCGAAUUAGACCCUGUGGAGUAACCGAAAACCGAACCGGUUUAUGGUCCGGUUAACCGAAUAACCGGUCCGAUUUGAUCGGUUAAUUCGGUGAUUUCGAUUUCGGCCAGGAUUAACCGGUUAAUCGGUUAACUGAAUUAAUCCCAAAAAAUUCAAAAUUAAUGAAUUUGUAGGAAGUGGGGUUCGAAUCUUGGCCUUUCAAAGAAAGGAUGAGGUCCUAUCCACUCCACCAACUAAUAUUUUAUGCUUAUUAAGAACACAAAAAUAUUUUAUAAAGACUUAUAAGGUUAUAUUAAAAAAAAAAGAACAAUUUUAAUUCUAAUAAAUACAUUCCCAACCUAAGCAACAAUUUAACCACAAAUCAAUGCUAUAAAAUACUGAACUGGAGUGGACACAAAAUGCAGUGAAACAGAGGUGGCAAAAAGUCAUUUUUAUAGUUUUAUAUUUUCUUUCGUUUGAAGGAUGGUAAUCCAAUCUCGCUUACGAGAAUUAAAGGAAUAAAGUGGUGACUAUAUUCUGUUACACAAUAAAGCUCAACUCAACAAUGAGCCAAUGAGAGGCAUUUUCUGUUACAAAUAUAUAAAGAAAAUUGUUGUCGAAAUUCAAGACACAUGAUGACUAUAUUCUUUAUUUCAACUGGACUAUUUGCACAUGCAAGCAUAAAUCCAUGCAAUGCUUUUGGACAGAGUCACAUAAUUUUGAGAUUUAUCAUAACACUAAUACACAAUAGCAUCAACCUUCGAGCAACUCCUUUUCAUUUCAUCUCAUAUAUUAAGUAUUGCAAUUUUUUUCCCUAUUGUCGCACACAACACAACCGCAUAUUAAACUGUAUAACUACAAAGUAAAGAUUCAUAUUAGCAGCGGAAUGCUGAAUUUCUGCACUGCAGUUGAGACACACUAGCAUACGAAAUUGAAUAGAUUUACAUAAUGGUCAAAGUUAGCAGGAGCAACAUUUAUUUUACCUUUUGAAGGCACUCUCGAAACGGCCAAACUGGUAUUUGUCUAUGGCAAAUUGGACAGCCGGGAUGGUGAAGGAGGCUAUGGCAGCCGGGAUGGCGGGCGGAAGUUGACGAUGGCAAAUGCAGCGGCGGAUGGGAGAAAGGGGCUGGGAGAGCGGUUGCGUCCUGCCGCCUAUAGGCUGAGCAGGGGGGAGCGGUGCCGGUGCCGGUGGGAAGACACGCCAGUGCUGGUGGGAAGAUGCGCCGGACGUCGGAAAAAGAAGGGAGGCACCGCAAAACGUGAAGUGCAGAACAGCAGAAGGGGACUGGGAGAGCGGCUGCGUCCUGCCGCCUGCAGGCUGAGCACGGGGAGNGGGGAGGGGGAAAGAGCGGCGUCGGUGCUGGUGAGAAGACACGCCGGUCGGACGUCGGAAGAAGAAGUGAGGCGCCGCCCGCAAAGCCUGAAGUGCAGAACAGGCGUGAAUUGAGAAGAGAAGUGAGACGCGAGAACCCUGACUAAUUUGAUAUAAAAUAAAAUAUAAAACAAUUAAUUUAAUAAUUUAAGUAAAUCGGUUAAUCGGUUUUACCGGUUAAAUCGAUUAACCGGUUAACAGAGAUAUAACUAACCGAUAACCGAACCAAACCGAAAAAACUGAUUUUUUCGGUUCGGUUACAGUUUUAACCGAAAAACCGACACCGAAUUACCAGCCCUAAAUGCCACACUUAUUAUAAACAAAUCAAUAUUGCAAAAAUACUAUAAUUCACGUGGACGAGGGGACGUUUAGAUCGGAGCACACACAAACCGAAAGGAAAAACUCACACAAAAAAGACUAAACAAAUUACUAGCUGAUGAGGGAUGAAAUAUGUACUGCCCUGAGAUCUCGACAUGUGGCUUACUCGGACAAAUUAGAGAAUCAGAGAAGACAGAAAGUAUGCCAGAGACGGAGCUUGGGACCAAACCCCAAAGACAGAGCUCGGGACCAAACCCCAGAGACAGAGUUCAGGACCAAACCCCAGAGACGAAGCUCAAGACCAGACUCUAGAGACAAAGCCCCGAGGCCAGACUCCAGAGACAGAGCCCGAGGCCCGCAACAAGAGAGAGAAACCAGGACCAUAUUCCAAAGAUGAAGCUCCAGACCAGAUUUCCACGGUUUUGCACUAAAUGACAGAGAUCCCGACGAUGAUCUUACACCUUUAUUGUACCGUAUCCAUCUAGGUCUAAGUAGUUAGUGCGCGGAGCGCGUGAAAUAUUGUAAAAGUACUAUGAUACCCCUCCUUGUAACAACUAUAAAUAGCCUUCUUCCAUAAUGAAAAACACAUGAUAUUCACCACCCAAAACACUAUAAGGCUUUUUAUCUUGUGUUCAUGGAAACUCAGGUGAACCAAAAGAAAUCUCUCACCGUUGAAAUACUUUAGUUUAAUUCUUUACUCAUCAACUGGCGCCGUUUGUGGGAAAAAAGUCUAAGACGUGAGGAAUUAUCGAGCGAUUCUGCUUUUUCGGAGUACUCACCGAAGUUCUCUAUCUUCGAGGGGGUAUUCUGGAUCGAAAGACAUAAAACAUCGACCAAAAUGUCCAAAAAUUAAGCAAUUUAUGUUACCAUUGAAAGGCUGAAUCAGUUGUGGGGUGGAAGUUUACCAGCGUUAUGUUUUAGCUUCGUUUUUACUCUAAAUUUUUGUGUUCUCGUCUUGGAAGCCAUGUUACAUGUGUACUUUUAUAUGAUUAUGAAAUAUGUGCAUUGAUUUGAAAGUUGUAAUCGUUUUAUGAACGUGUGGGCGUCGAUCUGGAGGUCAUCAGUGUGUAUGAAAUGGUAUAUAUAGGUUGAAAAACCUUCCUCGUGCCAAAUGAUCACUCUAUGAUCUAGGUCUGGAAUGAUACAACGCCAUGUACCUUUGCGUGUAUGUGUGGAUCUAAGAAUCUGGAGUAAGUUGAAAUCCGUGUGUUUCUGUGCUUAUAAGUAUUGUUCACCUUCUCGCAGUAGAAAACUUCGAUUGCGUAUUUUUCUGUGCAAAAUUUGGUUAAGCUUUCCAAAACUGAUUUGCUAUCUGUGAAUGUUGAAAUUUUGGUUAAGUUAAUUUCCAUCUCGUGUUCUGCAAAGUUAGUUGCGUGUCUUUUGAUACGAUAUCUGUGAAAUCAUAGAGAUCAUUAUAACGAUUAUACUCACAGUCUGAUGGAAACUCAGAAAAUGGAGGACACCACUAUUCCUCAGAAUCUUGAUAGGUAAUUCAAGAAGGAAGCCAAUAACGUCAAUCUCCAUCAGACGGGAAACGAUAAAGUAACCCAUUCUGUUGGAUUAACACCACCAAGGACAACUAAGCUAGUGCACUCCACUCCCUUGCAGGUUAAUACAGGGUUGUCGUAGACAAGACCCUUCUCACUAUACCAGAGCAACUGUUGUCAUUACUCAACUAUACCUGUAUGAGACAGAUGAUGGGGAUCCCAUUCACUCCCUUGACCCUUGGAGUUUCGCCGGCACCAGGAAUACAUCUCCGUUUAUAGGAAGUUUGGGAACUACGCUACAACUAGUUCUGGAAGGACAUAAUUUGAACAGGUCUGACGUUAUAAGGCGUUUAGGACAAACCGAGCCAUUGUACCCAAAGGAUAUGGAUAACAUUGAAGACGUGGAGGACACUUCAAGUAAAACCUCCAAAAGAACGGAACAUCAGACCAAAGAGACGUUACCUGUAGACCUAGAGUUGUUAAAGGAAAGGGUUUCCCUCAUGCAAAAGCACAUCCGAGAGCUGGAAGCAAUGAUAGAGGGGAAAGAGCACCAUGCGCAGACCGCCAAAGAAGUGAGGGAGAAG